GGAGUGGUUUGGGUGUUGCAUACCUCAGUCCAAACAACACUUCUUAGUUGGCAUAGCCACCCUAUUGGAAAGAGGAGAACGAAGGCGUGGAAUGUUGCUCCUCUUUGCUUGUUUUGGACUAUUCAAAAAGAGAGGAAUAGAAGGGUUUUAAAAUUGUUGAGCUUUUAGAUCAAGAGUUAAAGUUCUCUUUUCUAAGUAACUUUUUAGAAUUAACCGAAGGAGGUCUAAGGCUAGAGUCUUUCUUUAUGAUUGAUUUUAUCGAUUGGUUAGAUUGCUAAUAAGGGGAGGGAUUUCUUGUUUUUUCUUUGGAGCGCUCAUGUAUACUUCUUGUGUACUUUUACUUCUUGUUUCUAUCAAUAGAUAUCUUUGUCGUUUCCUAUCAAAAAAAAAAAAAAACUUCUUGUGUACUUGGUCUAGCAUUUUUUGGCUCUUUAAUCUAUAUUGCCUUUUUUUUAUCUUUUUUUUUUUUUGUACUUAUCAAAAAAAAAAAAAAACAAGCCUCUGAAAACAACUGAAAAUAAUUAAAAGAUGCUCUCUAUAAACAUUAUGCUUUUUGUUUUCUAGUUGUUAAACUUGUUCUCUUGGUUUUUUUUUUUUUUUUUGGAGAACAGAAAACUAUUUUAAAAAAUAGUUACCAAACAAGACCUAAAUCUCUAUGUUUUUAGUUUUCCCUCCAAGAACUCACAAUAACAGAGAAAUCAAUUCAAUUCUUCCUUUCAAUUUCCGUCAUUUUCUAUUGGAGUUCACAUAGGCUGUAAUUGAUUUGCACGUGUUGGCAGGCAGCUCUGUUACUGAAAGAUCAUUUUCCAAACCUUCUAGAACCUCCUUCAGAACUCUCUCACUGAAUUGAGACUUCAAAACACUUUGAUCAAUUGAAAUGCAUGUGAAACAUGGUUUUUAGACAUGCUUCCAACCAAAGACCAUGAAUCCCAAUCUCAACUUGCACAAUUCAGUUGGAGCAUUUAAGGGUGCCCCAGAUGACUCUAAAUGCCUUCCACUUCAAUCAGGCUUGCAGUCAAUUCCUUUCCUGUGUGUUUAGACCCAAUAAGUGAGCGUUUAAACGCAUACACUAACCAUUUAAAGAUUAUGUUCAAAUGUCACUUGUGUUGCUAACUCUGUUUAAACAUCCUUCUGGUGCAUCUACCAAAUGAAACAUUUAUUGACACUUGGCAUUAACAAAUUUUUCUUUAGCUCCAUUUAAAACUGCUUCGGUUGUGUUUAAUCAAACUAUAUUUGUGUUUACUCACACCUAUUUCUGAUUGAUUGCACAUAUAUGAAUUUGUGAUGUUUCUUCAUUUUGGGCUUCCAAAAUGUGAUCCUACCUUUCCAAAACUUUUGACACUUGAGAAGACUUUAUAUUUAAUAAUAUGUUCCCUACAACAAUACAAGCUUACAAAUAAUUUUUUGACUUAAAAUAUAUCAACAAAAACUAAGUAUGCUUUACAAUCUGCACAAUUACAUGUUUUCCUUCCAGUCUGACCACCACUUAUGUGGGAUAUUAUGAACUUUUCUUUUGAAAGUUCCUGUUUACACUGGUUUUUCAUCAAGCUAUUUGGUGAUAUUUCAUGUUAUAUCAUAAUGUUUUCCUUCCCAUGCUUGUUGAUUUUCACUUUGGCUCUGAAAUUUCUUUCUUAUGUAUGUAACCUUUACAGCAAGAAUUUUGCUUGAUCUCCCAAAUCUGUGCAGGUAUCUCCAGUGGUUGAUUGAAGAUCAAGAUUCUAAUGACACACAGUUCCAUACGUUAUAUGCUCUCUCACUUGCCAAAUCAGCUAUUGAAGCUUUCGAAACAGAAAGCAGCUUUCAGAACCCUGAUGCUGGAAGAUUAGAGGAGACGUGUUCUGCUGGUUCUGAAAGGAAUUCAAUUUUUCAGAGUCCUGUCAGAGAAAGGUUGCAGAUCUUUUUACAGUCUUCAGACUUGUAUGAUCCUGAAGAGGUCCUUGACUUGAUUGAAGGAUCUGAGUUAUGGCUGGAAAAGGUAUGUUGAAACUCACUUAUCUUAUUUCAUUAUAAUUAGCAAAAGAUACUGAUCAAAUGGCCACUCUUGAGGCCUUAGAUGGAUUAAUUAUUUGUGCCUUUCCUUGCUUUCAGAUGCAAGGAUGGGACUAUGUUCUUCUUUUUCUUUCUCUUUCUUUUUUGUCAUUUUUUUAAAAGAAAAUUCCAAAUGGUAGGUGUCAUGUACAUAUUACUAAUGCAAUUUCUGGCUUUUCCUGACAGGCUAUUCUGUACAGGAAACUAGGGCAGGAAACAUUGGUGCUCCAAAUUUUGGCCUUGUAAGUUCCAAAAUGCUUACUGAUGAAAUCUUAAUAAUUAGUCAUCACUUUGUGUGAACUGUGUCUGAGGAAGCUUGACCCUUGUCAUAUAUGGGACACAGCUGUACAACCCUAUGUAAAUUCUAUUUCAUUGUACCAUGACAAGGGCUUUGUGGUAGUUGCUCUUCUCCUUGUUUGGUGUUUCUUGACUUACCUCAAUCAAAGCGAGCCUUUUAAGUUGACAUGACUCAUUUUGUGGGAAAAGGAUGAAAAAAAAGGUUUGGAGAGCUGCCCCGUUAUGCAUUUUUUGGACAGUUCUGAAAGAGAGGAAUUGUAGAUCUGUUGAAAACAAGGAACAAUCAGUCAAUGCUCUAAAAGGCUGGUUCGUUGGUAAUUUUUUGUUGUGGGUAAAGAUGUACAUUGAUGAGAGUCCUGUCUUUAAUAGAUUUUUUUCUAUUGGCUUGGUUCUUGCUAAGGGAGCGUGUUUUUGUUCAUCCUUUAGCACUCAUUGCACAAGUCCUAUGUACCUUGGUGUGAUGUUUUUUGCUGCUUGUUUAUAUAUAUAUUAUUAUUAUGUAAUAUUAUCAAUACCUAUAAAAAAAAAUGAUAACAUUUAAUGCUUUGUCAGGAAGCUGGAAGACAGUGAAGCUGCUGAACAAUAUUGUGCAGAGAUUGGUAGACCAGAUGCCUAUAUGCAGUUGGUUCUUUUUCUUUAUUUUCAUCAAUUUUUGUUCCUUUGUUUUUCCACCUGAAGAUAGAAGUUGUAUUCUUAAUUAUGUUCUUGCCUUUUGUUCUGUUUGUUCUAUGAUCAUCCCAGGUUGCUUGAUAUGUAUUUGGAUCCCCAAGAUGGUAAGGAGCCUAUGUUUAAGGCUGCAGUUCGCCUUCUCCACAAUCAUGGUGAAUCACUGGACCCCCUGCAGGUUUUAGAGGUAUCAGGCUCUGUCUCACAUGCACACUUAGAAGCACCUUUUUUUAUCCACCUUUUUUCCAUACCUUGCCUAAGUUUAAGAAUUUUAUUGUAUAAGACAUCUGAAUAUUUGAAAACUUGCAAUCUGGCAUUUUGUGUGUGGGUGGGGGAGGCUUGUGGUAUGGGAAAGAGAGAGAGGGAAGGAAGGCUUAUAAAGGGUCUAUUUUGGAACUGUUUUCCAGUCUUGAAAACAUGUUUGACAAUUUGUUGACAGAAAACAGUUCUUUUGAAAAUUUGUUCUAAAAAUAGGGUGUUUUCUAAAAACAUAUUUUAAUUGUUUUUGCUUGUUUUCUACAGGCUAUUCUUAAAAAAUAAUUAUACAAAUAUAGAGAAUGAUUGAAAAUAAAACAUUUUAGAUAAAAUUUCCUUUACAAUGAACUUUUCCCUUUCCUACUUAUUUUUUCAAUAAUCAAUAAGCAAUUGAAAAUAUUUAAUUACCUUGUUGGGUUCAUACUUGAUCUUUGCUAUAUAGAAAACACAUUUGGCAAUUUGUUGAUAGAAAACAGUUUUUUUUUAAAACUUGUUCUGAAAACCGGGUGUUUUAUGAAAACAUAUUUUAAUUAUUUUCACUUGUUUUCUGCAGGCUAUAUUUAAAAAAUAGUUAUACAAACAUAGAGAAUGAUUGGAAAAAAACAUUACGGAUAAAACUUAUUUUUAAGAAAUAUUUGGCAAUACAUAAAACACGUUGAGAACAUUACAAGCUACCCAACAAACUUUUGUUUCAAAAAACAUCAAAGACGUGUUUUAAAGAAUUAUUCUCAAAAAUUGUUUUUUGAGAACUAUCUUAAAAAACAUUCCCAAACAGGCUGAAAAUUUCCUUUACAAGGAAUAUUUCUCUUUCCUUCUUUAUUUUUUCAAUAAUCAAUAAUCAGUAAACAAUUGAAAAUAUUUAAUUAACUUGCUGGGUUCAUACUUGAUCUUGCUAUAAUUAGAUAGAAACUCCAUCCCAUCAUGUGGCAAGGCAAGCUCACCUUAUUAUGCUGGAAUAGUGAAGUUGAUUGUUCCUUUAUUAUAUUGAUUUUGUUUUCUGUUCCAGACAUUAUCUCCAGAUAUGCCUCUCCAACUUGCUUCAGAUACUAUAUUAAGAAUGUUGAGAGCUCGGCUCCAUCAUCAUCGUCAAGGACAGGUAUGUUUACUGUUGAACCUUGUUUGGUUGUCAUUAUUUUGAUUCUAAGGAAGCCUAUAAAAUAAAAUAAAAUAAAAAAUUAAUAGAUAAGUCAUUUGGAUUUAAGUAUUUCCAUAAAUAUCUGUGUCCUAUGUAAUUCUUUAAGUUUUGUGCCCACAUUCCUCCAAAUUAUAAUUGCAGUAGUCGCUAAGUCAGUCUUGAAGCUCUUACAUGAUUUUAAUCAAACCUAACGACGACUCUACUAGCAUGUGAAGUUAAUGAUAUAGAUCCUGUUAUGUGUUAUUGCAUCCUGUAAGGCAAUUAUUGUUUAUUUUCAUGUCAUUUCCAGUUUUCUUCCCCUUCCUUAGAACAUUUAACUCUUAUUGAGGCACAUCUUCCCCAGGGUGAUGGAAGCUGGGUUCAUUGUUUUCCCCCUUUAUUUUAUCAGCUUCGUGCCAUCGUUUCUGGUAUUUUUGUGAAUAUAAUGAUUUCUAAUUCUUUUUCUCCUUUUUUUAAGCCAUUAGUUCAUUCAUUUCUGCAUCCUCAUCUAUUCUAUGAUGGAAAAGGGGGACAAAAAUUACACUGGGAACGUCCCAGAUAUUUCUUCAGUUUUAACAGUCAUUCUGUAGUUAUCUUCAUAAUUUACAUUGUUUUUUACUUGUUUUUAGAACCAAAGAAUUCCAAUCCGCCUGGAAACAACCCAGUUCCUGCUCUCUAAUCUCACUUUUUAAUAGGCAUAUCAAUGACACAAUUAACACUAUCUAGCUCUUUGUUUCAUGGCAGAACAAUUGACCAGAGGUGUAUGUCCUGUUAUGAUUCUUAUAUUGAUUUUGAAGAGAAGUUGAUGGAUACUGCUGGGAUGGACUUGUCCAUCGAUAUGUUGAUGGAGGGGAAUUAGCUAGAUUGUGGACACUCUCCUUCCUUACUCUAUAUAAAAAGUGAUUGUGUUCACUAAUUGCAAGUUUGACACUCUUACCCACCCUAUCCCUUCCUACAUGAAAUUAAUCCUAAUCCCUACAGAUCAUUCUGCGUAGGAUAUCAGUCACUAUAAUGAAAAAAAGGAGCAAGAGAGGGUCAUCAUGUUGUUGGAUGCAUCUAGAAGCCUUAAUCAUUCGCUAUUCCUUUUAAUGAGCAUGUGAGGUGCUCACCAAUGCUACAUUUGCCUAAAUCCAUCUCUACAUAAACCAAACCCUUUCUAUGGAGAGCAUGAUCCAAAAAAUCUCAAGUCACGCGAUCAUAAGCCUCUCCUUCUGUUAGAUCUCCAUUUAUCAUCCUUGUUUCUGUUUUCCAUGAAUGAUCAAGAAUUUUGCUUCCCUCGAUAAAGUUUUUCUGAGAAUGGGAUAGUCUCAUGGGCACUUGAUGAAGAAGCUUUAACAUAGACUUUGCUAGGAAUCUUAUAGAGGCUAGCAACUCAACUACCAUGCCUAAACUCCUUGAACCCUAUGGAUCAAUCUUAGGGGACAUGGGUGAUAAAAGUCACACUGUAACUCCGAUUUAUGAUAAUACUAAGAGGAGAAUUCCUCAAGUACACAGCAAAACACCCUCUUUCAACAACAAUUAUGAUAGAAUGCUAUAGUGAAACCCAAACAUUACCUUUAGAAUGCUUAUGAUAUUUGAAAUGUGACAUAAUAAUAUUCAGUUAUUUUUAGGUCUCGAUAAAAGCACAAAUGGAAUUAAAUAUGAUAUCAGAUUAUUGAUUUCCAUUUCAACACCCAACAUGUUCUAGCUAUUUGGGUUCGCCUUCAAGAAUUCCAAUUUUUACCAUGCCACUCUUUGGAUCUACCAUUAAAUCAUUGUUGCAGCAUUGAACCACUUUUGUUGGCUUAGCACCUUUUAUGUUGAAUCAUCUCUAUUUCCUUUUCAGAUUGUGCAUAACCUAUCCCGUGCUGUAGACGUUGAUGCAAGAUUAGCAAGAUUGGAAGAAAGAACAAGGCAUGUGCAGAUCAAUGAUGAGAGCUUAUGUGAUUCUUGUCAUGCUCGCCUUGGAACAAAGCUAUUUGCAAUGUAUCCAGACGAUAGUAUUGUCUGUUACAAGGUGGAUAAAUUAUCUUUUUGUCUGUUCCAAGCUAUUCAUGAUUUAUCCAGAUGAGUUGUGAAGGUUGGUGAUGUUGGUCCCUCCUUUUGUCUGUAGAGACCAAGGAAUUCUCUAAAUCUUUAAGAGCACCACCUCCACACCUCAUCCUCUAAAAAGUUUCUUUUCAAAUUUUAAGGUCAGCAGAAACAGGGUUUCCACUUUAACUUCACCAUUGAGCAGCUGAUACCAGAAAAAGGAAUUUUUAUUUUUUUUUAUAAAAAAAAAAAAAAUGAAGUGGCAGGCAUCCACAAGUAGGGAGGAUACAUCUUAAUUGAUCAUGGUUAAGAUCGAAUUGUCUAAAACCUAGUUUCUUCCUUCUGCAGUGUUUCCGUCGUCAAGGUGAAUCCACUUCUGUCACAGGUGUUGACUUCAAACGAGAUAUCUUAUUUAAACCAGGUUGGCUUGUGACCCGAUAACUAUGGAGGAAGAAGAACCAUUUUGGAAGUUAAGACCAAGCUACCAUGUGUUUGCUCUUUACAGCUCUACCUUCCUGCUCUGGAUCGGGUACCAUUUCAUCUUCAUCUUGACAAAGAAUUGCUCACAGUGACUUAACUUAUUUUUAAAGAGAGAUGUCAAACCAGGAAAUUUGAUUUUCAACAAGGUUCUACUGUGCUCCUAUCGUCAGGUACAAGCUUGGUUGAGUAUUUAACAAAAGAAUCCAUGUAUAGAGCAUGCCAUCUUGAUGGUCCCACUAUUAUUUCUUUUCAGUUAUGAAUUUGUAAAGGAUCCAAUUGUUUUGCUGACACAUGCUUGAUUGAAACAGCCGGUUUGUUGUAUAAACAUCUAUAGGUAACUAACUAUCUGGCCACAAUGGGCCUCUUUUGUUCAAGUUUAUUAUGUUUUGAAAAAAGGAGGGGAAAAAAUGGAGUUUAAGGUUCCUACUGAGUAUAUGCUGAGGUGAGGAGCUUGAUGUAUGCUUGGUUUUACAUGUAAAACAUAAGAUGGGUACCUAAGGAGAUAGAAAUCAACCCCUUCCCUUAUCAUACAGGUAGUGAGGAUGAUGAUUCAUGGAGGAUGGCAGAUUUUGUGGAAUGGGCUUCAAACUUAAACAUUCCUGAGUAGGAGUUUUGAGGGGAGUGAAAUGGGCUUUAAAUUGAAUUAAAAUUAGUUAGAAAUUUAUGAAUUUUAAAAUUAUUUAAAUUUUAUAUGGAAUAGAAAAAUAGGUUAAAUGAGCUUAGAAAAACACAAAUAAUUUAUUAAUUUUCAGUGAAUUUUUUUUGUUAACCUUUUUUUUUUUUUUUUGGGUUCCCUUCUUUAUUAUCUUUUCUUUCCAUUUUCCUUAAAGCCAAACAAAGGUGGUGUCUAUGAAAGUCCUCUGUGAGGCCUUUCCUUUCUCCGAAGUGUUUUCCCUGAGCUCUCAGCAAGUUUCUUUGCCAAUUGAUGGAGAUUAUAUUGGUACACUUUAACUUCAUUCCUUUUUAAUGCGAUUGUAUGAUAUUAAAUUUUGAUGAUGCAAAAAGAAACUUUGAGAUGUUAGAAAGAAGGAAGAGUGGUACCUUAGAGAGCAAAAAUUUUGAGAAAUUUGGGUAUUGUACAUAUAAUAGAGGAACGAAGUAGAAUGUCUUCAGCAUUGCCUAAAAAUAAAUAAGGCAUCAUUUAUGAACUGAAAUCAUUUUUUUUUUUUUUUGGGUGGAGAUUUUAGACUUUUUUCAAGUGUUCAAAAUUUUUACUCAUGCCUUUUUGUUUUCAAUAAUGUUUUGUAAAUAUAAAAAGUGAUUUUUGUUGUAAAAGUAAAGAACAUUGGGAUACAAUUUGAGAUAAUAAAUUUUAAAAAAGUGAAUUUUGAAGCUAUCUAUUUUUCAUAACUUUAAUCCCUAUGGUUACAAUCAUAAUGAUUACAAUAAAUACUUUUACAAUAAAUGUGCAAGUUAUAGAGAUACUUGAAAGAUUAUGUCUGAAAUUUCUUGAAUCCUUGCAUGCCAAUAUUAUGUAUGAGCUUCUUGAAUGUUAUAUUAUACAAAGCUUGUUGUGAUGAAAUGUGUUUGAUUUGAUUAUCCUUAAUCUAUUCUUCUUUGAUUUGAACAAUACAUGUAACAAUAUCAUCAUGCAAUAUUAUUUAUUUGUCUUUGAUAGAAGAUAAGUCAUGGACUCUUGAAUAUGUUGGAUCAUAAAUCAGUUAUAUACAUUUACGACCUGCUUCAUAAAUUGCGAGUAAUUCUAAUUUGAGGAGGUGAAUACUAUUAUUUGCUUAAUCAAAUUUUCAUGAUAUAUAGAAUAUGUUUGAUCAUUUUCCAAUGUUUUCAAAUUGGGGCAAAACCAUAUCUUACUAGCAAAUUGAGAAAGAAUGUUAUGUCUAAUCAUGUACAAUUUGCAAGAUAAAUUAAUGUGACAAUUACAUUAAGUUCUUGUACUUUUGGACCACACAGUUCUUUAUUUUCUUUCUUGAAAUGAAAUAUAUCGCCAUUCACUUCAAGUGAACAAACAACCAUAGGGAAGCUAAGUAGGUGUGAUUUGUGGAUAUGCAAGUGUUUCAAGACUUUUUCUAGGUAUAUCAUCUAAUAGACUAACACCUCACUUGGAAAAAUACUUGAUCUACAAGAUGAGCCAAAAUUUUAUUUUCCAUGAUCUUCCUUUCACAUCAUUUCUUGAGAUAAUUAACUAGUCUUAUGAGCUAUUCAAGAGUUCCAAAAAGAUUACAACAAUUACAAACCCCACUUUAAUCCAUAGAAAGAUAUAAUUUGAUUAAGUAUAUUAUCAUUAUUGCUUAAUCUAAAAUAUGAAAUGAGAUUUUCAAUCAUUGAUAUGCAUUUUUAAUUCUUCAAAGAUUUUAACAUACCUAUGGAUCCACAUAAAGAUUUGUAGCUAACAUAUAAACCAAGUCCUUUAGAAACUGUUGAUUGUAUAAUUAAAUCAUUACAAGAGUUGAUAUAAAUCAAGUCAUUCAAAGACUGUUGAUUGUAUAAUUAAAUCAUUAUAAGAGUUAAUACAACAUCUCAAUAGGAAAUCUUAUGAUAUAAUUUUUUAUUAUCUAAAAUUAUACUUUUUAUAUAAUAACUCAUUAAUAUCCAACAAUCUGUAUGUCUUAAUAACCCAUUAAUAUCCAACAACUUUUAUGUCUUCAAGUGUUAAGACUCUAAGUCCAUUUAUAAUAAGCUUUACAUUUUUAAGCAUUUGAACUACAAGUCCAAAUAUUUCUCAUUGUAACGAGCUUUAGAUAUACUUGUUUUAUUUCUUUCUAUUUUUGUCAAUCAUUUCUAUGUAAAUAUUCUUCUACAUUUUGUAGUUCAAAUUUUCAUCAUUUUGUAUGAUAUCAAUAUUGGAAUAUCUGGAUUACUCUCUAGAUUAUUGGGGUGCAUGCAAAACUAUCCUAGGGAUUUCUAAAUCUACACAAUGGAAGCUAUAACAAAUAAAUCUAGGUGUAUAAAAAACCCACAUGUUCUUGAGUCACUUAAUUUAACCUAAAUUGAGUCCUAAUUGAUUAAUUAACUCAACAAGGCUAUUAAUUAAUCAAUUAGCCCAAUUCAAAGACCUUGUUCACUUACCCUUGUGCAACCUUGCAUAAUCACCAAAGACCCUUAUGUAAAAAAGUGAACCUAGGGUCAAUCUGACCUCCCUCAUAACUCAUGCCAAUAAGGUAUAUGAGCUCAAAGCGGGGACCACUAUGACCCAUAGAAGUACUAUCUCCCUCAAAAUCUAAUUCUGAAGUUGAUUCAACAUCCCACUCAAAGAAUCAACUAAACUCUAUUAUCUUAUGUAAAUAAUAAUGAGACACUAUGUGUUCGAGUCCAUGACUUGCUUUCCAUUGUACUUAAUUUCCCCAUGAAUUGGUAUUUGUAGUCUAAUAAGGUGAAAGUUAUCAACUUUUCAAAACUACCUCUACUAUCAUUGAGCACAAAUCUUCAUAUUGUGUGUUCAAUUGACAUGUCUUAGCUCUCAAAGAGCCUACGUUAAGUUUCAUUUAAGGAACUAUUAUGAUCAUAAUUUCCAUAAACACGCCUCCUUAGGAUCACCCAACGGGACGCUCUGUCUUAAUCUCAUGAGAUAUCAGGCUGUCUCUAUUCAGAAUACCUAUUGCUACUGACUUCCAUCAACAGUGACUUAAUUUAUAAGGAAUAUAUAAUUAGCUUUCAAUCUCACUUGUAGGUCAAAGACACUAGUAACUUUAGCACAACCUUAGUAUUCUCUUAAAGUUGAGAGACAACAUAAUGAAGCAGUUUGGUGAGGUCAUGACUACUUGAUAGCCUUAAGUCAUGACUCACUAUAGGUCUUGUCCAAUGUGUAACCAUACACAUUAGUGCACUCAUCAUGAGAAACUCAUCUCGAAAGCCAAGACCAGUCAUCCCUCCAAUUAGGAGGUGGUGCAUCACAACUUCUAAUGAGUUGCUUAAACCCAUGAACCGACUGUGAACAAGUCAUCUAUUUGCAAUGAACCCAUGAUUUGGAUCUUUCAUGCAACUCCUAAUACACCUAAGUCACAUAUAAUGCAAAAGAUGCAGGCAAAAAUGCUCAUAAAGUGUAAUACAUUUAAUAUGGAUAGUUAAAAGUGAAAUUGGAAUAUGAUUAAAUAAUGAAUUCCAAAUUUUGUUCAUUAUGUCAUGCUUUUAAGGGCUCUAUCUUAAUAUCAACCUCUUAAGAUUAUUUCUAUAAUCCUUGAGUUUUAGAUUCUCUUAUUAUGUGAUCAAUUGACAUACUCUAAUUCUCAAUGAGCAUAUGCCAAUUUCUGUAAAAGGAAUUAUUAUUGCCACAAAUGUUAUUAUCACAUGUGCUAGGAUAGAACCCUUAAAAGUAUGACAUGAUAUAAUAAACUUUUGAAUUUUAUUAUUUAUUAAUAAAUUUUCAAUUUGCUUUUAUCUAUCCUAAUUCCAUGCAUUAUACUUUGCAAGCAUUCUAAGUUGCAUCUUUUGAAUUGUAUGUGACUUAGGUGUGUUAGGAGUUAUAUGAAAGAUCUAAGUCACGAGUUUUUUGUAAGUAGAUGAAUUGUUCACAACCGGUUCAUGGGCUAUUAGAGGCUAUAGGGAUGAUUGGUCUUGGUCAUCAAGAUAGGUUUCCAUGGUGAGUGCACUAGUGUGUAUGGUUACACAUUUGAUAAGACCUAUGGUGAGUCAUGACAUAAGACUAUCAAGUAAUCAUAACUUUACCCAACUAUUUCAUUGUGUUAUCUCUCAACAUUGAAACAAUAUUGAUCUUAUGUUAAUGUUAGAAAUGACUUUGACAUGCAUGUGAGAUUGUAAGAUGAUCAUAUAUUCCCUUUGGAUUGGGUCAUUAUUGAUGGAAGUCGAUAGCAAUAAAUAUUCUCAAUAGAGGCACCAUAAUAUCUCAUGGGAUUGAUAUAGAGUGUCCUAAUAGGUGAUCUUAAGAAGGUGUAUUCAUAUAAACUAUAGUCAUAGUAGUUCCUUAAAUGGAACUUGACAUAUAAUCUUAGAGAGCUAAGAUAUAUUAUUUGAACACACAAUAGGAGAAUUUGUAACUCAAGGAUAAUAGAGGUAAUCUUGAAAGACUAAUAACUUUCACCUUAGUAAGUUAUGAACACUAGUUCAUGGGGAGACUGAAUACAAUGGAUAAUAGAUCAUAUACCCAAGCACUUAGUGUCUCAUUGUUAUUUACAUAAGGUUUGGAGUGUGGUUGAUUAUCUAUAGUAAGAUAUUGAAUCCACUUUAAAAUUGGAUUAUAAGGGAACGAAUACUAUUUUACAGGUCCCAAUGGCCUUUGCUCAAGUUCAUAUACCUUGUUGGCACGGUUUCUAAGAGUUGAAUUGGCUCUAAGUUCAUUUUUUUUUUGUAUAAAUGUGUUUUGGUAAUUACAGAAGAUUGCACAGGGGUUAGUAAAUAAAGUCUUUAGAUUGAGUUAAUUGAUUAAUUAAAUAGUUUUUUGAGGUUAAUUAAUCAAUUAGGAUUCAUUUUAAGCUACAUUAAGUGACUCCAACUUUUAAUGGGCUCAAGUCACUUAAGCCUAGUUAGAGAUAUAAAUAUUUUUUUUAUUGAAAUUAUAGGGUUCUUAGGAGUUUGAAUUUAAAAUAAAACCAAAAGACAAUGCUUAAUUAAGUCCUAUUAUGUUGGGUUGUUUAGUUUGGAUAAGUCUUAGAUUUAUAAGAGUUUGAAUUUAAAAUAAAACUAGAAGAUAAGGCUUGACUGAAUCCUAUUAUUCUGGGUUGUUUAGUUUAGAUAAGUCAUAAUGUGUUUAAAUUUGGUUUUAUCUCUGGUUUGAAUUAGAGAGAAUAUCGAAUAAUUUUUUGUAGGUUGGUUAGUUGCUAAAUUCAGGGAUUGCUUCGUUUAUUUAAGUUUUGGAUGUAAACCAUUUUUUUUUUAAUAAAGUAUUAUUUAGUUUCUCUUCCAAAUUGAAUAUGGUAUCAAAGCCCACGAUCUAAACUUAAACAUGGUAAAACCUACAAUGACUGGCGAACGUUUAGCAAGCUCUUUGGAUGUGAUCUCCGAUUCUUCUCUUGUCAAUUCUAGUGGUAAUGGUGGUUCUAAAAUUUUCAUUCACCACAUUACUGUCCACAAAUUAAACGACAAGAAUUAUCUCCAAGGGUUUUGAUAAGUAAUGAUGUACAUAUGUAGGUGUGAAGACAACCCUGACGAAAAACAAUGCAUUUUACAAAGCCUGGUCUUUUGAGAACAAUACGAUUAUGUCUUGGCUUACUAAUUCCAUGGAUAUGGAUGUAGGAUAGAAGUUCCUAUUCUACAAGACAAAAAAAAAUAUCGGGGACAUAGCUAAGGAGAUUUUUUUAGAUAGUGAAAAUACAACAGAGGUGUUUGAACUCAAAAUCCAACUUCUAGAAUUAUGAUAAGGGGACCUCAGCGUGACCCAAUACUUUAGCGUUCUCUCCCGAUAUUGGUAAAAAACUAGACAUGUUAGAAGAAUUGGAAUGGGAUUGCGCUAAUGACAACAUCAAAUAUCAUAAAAUUAUGGGGAAAAAAAAUCUUCACAUUCUUGGCAGGAUGAAGUUUGAGCAAGGAUUCUUAGCACCAAGCCACUCCCAUUACUCCGAAAUGCGUGUUUUGAAGUAUGGUGAGAAGAGAUUCGAAACAAGGUCAUGAUGAAGGAUCACACCUCAUCACAUUUAUUUUCGUGUAACAACGAAUCAGCCUUGGCUACCAAAGGACCGAAUUCUCAACACUUUGAUUCACAAGGAUAUCCAACAGGUCGUGGUGUGAUCACUAUAAUCGAGUUGAUCACACUCAAGAAACCUAUUGGAAAAUUCAUGGGAAACUACCCAAUUGGAAAAGUAACAUAACAUAGGUAAAUGAACCUUAAGGUUAUCGUGCCACCAAUGAUGAACCACCACAGUCCAAUAACUCAUCCAACAAAACACCUUUCAACAGAGAAUAGAUGAAGCUAUUUCAGAAACUCCUCACACAUGAUCCUUUGAGUACCUCCACUAUAGGAUCAAGUUCCAUUGCCCAGAAAAGUAUAUGUUCCAGAGCCUUGAAUGUUUUUUCAAAGUCAAACCCAUGGAUUAUUGACUUUGGCGCAUCCGAUCACAUGAUCAAUGAUAUAACUCUCUUUCACUCUUAUCAACCAUGUUCUGAGAGUUAUAAAAUUAAAAUAGUCGAUGGCUCUUUCUCAGUGGUGGCCGAUCAAGGGAGUGUCAUUCUUCCGAAUAGCUUUAGAUUGCUCUUUAUUCUUCAUGUUCCCAAGCUUAUGUGUAAACUUACUCUCUACAAGAAAAGUCACUAAAGAUCUUAAUUGUGUUACUAAAUUCUUUCCUAAUCAUUAUGAAUUUCAAGAAAUUGAGACAAGGAAGAUAAUUGGUUGUGCCUAGAACAUGAGAGUUUAUAUAUCUUUGGCAAUAACGUUUCAAAAGGACACACUCAAAAAGCAAGUUGCAAUGUUCUUUCAUCUCUUGCAAAUUCCAUUGAUCAUGAAAUAAUGGUUUGACACUUUAGGCUAGGCCACCCAAGCUUUCCAUAUUUGAAAAAGUUGCUUCCACCGUUAUUCAGAAAUAAAAACUUAAGAGUCAUUUCAUCGUGAGUUUUUUCAAGUGUCUAAACAUUGUUGAAAUUCUUAUGUUUCACAACCUUAUAAAAAAUCUCAUCAUUUUUGCUCAUAAAUAGUGAUUUAUGGGGACCAUCCAAUAUUAGCAACGUAACAAACUCUAAGUGGUCCAUUUCAUUUAUUGACAAUCAUACACGAAUAUGUUGGGUGUAUUUGUUGAAAGAAAAAUCUGAAGCAAAAAAUAUUUUAAAAAAUUUAAUGUCAUAAUUAACACUCAAUUUCAAACCAAAAUCCAAAAUUUUUGCGUUAACAAUGGUACUGAAUACUUUAAUUCAAUCCCUAGACCCUAUCUUCGUGAACAUGACAUCAUUCAUCAAAGCUCAUGCAUUGCUACACUACAACAAAAUGGAAUUUUUGAAAGAAAAAAUUGUCAUUUGGUAGAAAUUGUUUGAUUCCUUAUGUUCACGACAAAUGUUCUUAAAUAUUUUUUAGGGGAAGUCAUUCUCAUUGCAUCAUACUUGAUAAACCGAAUGCCCACUGGAGUAUUAUAGUACCAAACUCCCAUUGAAGUUCUAAAAAAUUGUUACCUUAACAUUCGACUAGUGUCAUCAUUUCCACCAAAAAAAAAAAAUUGUUGUAGCGUUUUUGUCAACACUCAUGAUCAAAGCAGAACGAAACUAGAUCCAAGAGCCCUCAAAUGUCUUUUCUUGGGAUAUUCUUUAACCUAAAAAGCUUAUAAAUUUUACUCACCAAUCAUAAAAAAAGUUUUAUGUUUACAUGGAUGUAACAUUCCUUGAGCAUCAAGCCCAUUUUCCUAAAACUCAACUAUAGAGGAAGAUUUCAAGGAAUUCCAACUCAAAUCAAUUUUGGGAUAUUACUCUUCUAGCUAAUAUUGAUAUUGUUCUCCCAACCCUAGUUUUCAAAUCUGUCAUCUCAAUAGUCCCUACAACAACAUGUAAUUCUAGCCCUAAAACCAUUGUUGUUCCCUUCAAACUAGAUUCUACACCCAAUAUUCCAACAUAUUCAAUCCCAAAACUAGAUUCUUCACCCAAUUUUCCAAUAGAUUCGACCCUAAAAUCGUAUUCUACAUGCAAUCUUCAAGCAAAUUUGACCUUAAAGCUUCAGGUUUAUUCCAGAAGAAAAGUUGUCAGGGAUAUACAAAUUCUCAUGCCCUCGGCUCAUGACUAGAUAACUGAACCUAAUCCAAAUACUCAUGACCAAAAUUCUGGUAACACGGUAACUGAUACUAAUUUGACUGUAUUAAAUGAUUUGGAUGUUCCUAUCGCAUUUCGAAAAGGGGUUAGAUCAUGUAUUACACAUCUCAUUGUUGAUUUUGCUUCAUACUAAAGAUUAUCUCCAUGGUUUUGAGCAUUUAUUGCUAAUAUUUAUAAAGUUGAUAUACCUAGGGACAUUCAUGAGCCAUUACAACAUCCAAAUUGGAAGGAAAUUGUGCAUGAGAAGAUUAAAGCUCUUGAAACAAAUGGAACUUGGGAAUUAAUCGAAUUGCCUUUAGGAAAAUCUACUAUCAGAUGCAAAUGGAUUUUCAAUGUGAAGUAUAAAGUUGAUGGGAACAUUGACAGAUAUAAGGCAAGAUUGGUGGCUAAGGGAUUUAUGCAAACAUAUGGAGUAGAUUAUCAGGGAAAAUUUGCUCAAUUGCGAAAUUCAACACUAUUCGAGUUCUACUCUCAAUUGCAAUCAACAAUGAUUAGCCUUUUCAUAAGGUAGACAUAAAAAAUGCAUUCCUAAAUGGUGAUCUCAUUGAAGAAGUCUUCAUGGAUAUUCCAUAAGAAUUCAAAGAUGUUGAAAAAAAAAAAAAACCAAGUGUGUAGGUUACAUAAAUCUUUGUAUGACCUAAAGCAAUCACUUAGGGCCUAGUUUGACCAUUUUACUUCAAUUAUUAAGAAAGUUGGGAACAAUCAAGGAUAAUCGAAUCAUACGAUGUUUUUCAAACAUUCAUUAUAUGAGAAGAUAAAUAUUCUUAUCAUUUAUGUGGAUGACAUAAUUCUGAUGAUGAAAUGGAAAUGAUAAAUCUAAAAAACACUCUAUCUCGGGAAUUCAAAAUCAAGGACUUGGAAGAGAGCUCUUAGGUAUUUCCUUGGCAUGGAGGUGGCUCAAACAUCAAGUGGAAUAUUAGUUUCUCAAUGGAAAUAUGUCCUCGAUCUUCUGGAGAAAACUAGUAUGCCCGAAUGUAGACCAACAGACACACUUAUGGAGUAGAAUGGAAAGCUUAGCAACAAAGAAGAAAACCCUUCGGUUAACAAAGGUCAAUACCAAAUACUUGUUGAGAAGCUGAUCCAUUUAUCCCAUAGUAGGCCAGAUGUGGUCUUUCCUAUUAGUGUGGUUAGUUAGUUCAUGCACGCUCCCACUGAAAAAAUCUUAGUGUAGUUCACAAAAUUCUCUUAUACUUGAAAAUGACACCGAGAAAGGGUUUUUUUUUUUUUUUUUUGCAAAAAUAUCAGAUGAGGAAUUAAAGUAUAUUUUGAUGCAAAUUGGCUAGGUUUCAUGAAUGAUACAAGAUCCACCUAGGCUAUUAUACCUACAUAUGGGGUAAUUUGGUUACUUGGAGAAGUAAGAAGCAGUCCAUAGUGGCUUGAAGUAGUGCGGAAGCUAUGUUCCAGGCUAUUGCACUUGGUGUAUGUGAAGGACCAUGGCUAAAACGUGUGAUGGAGGAGUUGAAGAUUUCAACCGAGCUUUUGAUGAAAAUUAUUUGUGAUAAUCAAGUAGCCAUCAACAUCUCCUAUAAUUUGGUUCAUCAUUAUGGAACCAAGAAUGUGGAAAUAGAUCGACAUUUCAUUAAGGAGAAAGUUGAGAAUUGGGAGUUUUUACUGUAGUACAUGCCUACCAAGCUUCAAACUAUAAACAUUCUUACAAAAGCUUUACCAAAACAACAUUUCGAUCUUUUAUAAACAAAUUGGGAAUGAUCAAUUGUUAGGAUAGAGCCUUUAAAAGCAUAACAUGAUGUAAUAAAUUUGGAAUUCGUUAUUUAUUUAAUGAUGUUCCAAUUUCAUUUUUAUCCAUCCUUAUUCCAUGUAUUAUACUUUAUAAACAUUUUUGUCUACAUCUUUUGCAUUGUACGUGACUUAGGUGCAUUAGGAGUUGCAUAGAAGAUCUAAGUCAGGGGUUUCUUGCAAAUAGAUGACUUGUUCACAACCAAUUCAUGGGUUUAGGCAACCCAUUAGAGGUUGUAGUGUACUAUCUCCUAAUUGGAGGGAUGAUUGGUCUUGGCUAUCGGGAUAUGUUUCUCAUGGUGAGUGCACUAGUGUGUAUGGUUACACAUUGGACAGAACCUAUGGUGAGUCAUGACUUAAGGUUGUCAAGUAGUCAUGACCUCACCAAGCUGCUUUAUUGUGUUGUCUCUCAACCUUGAGAGAAUAUUGAGUUUGUCUUAAAGUUAGCAGUGGUUUUAACCUACGAGUGAGAUCGCAAGCUGAUCAUAUAUUCCCUAUUGAUUGGGUCACUAUUGAUGGCAGUCGGUAGCAAUAGGUAUUCUCAAUAGAGACACCAUGAUCUCAUGGGAUUGAGACAUUGUAUCAUCUUGGGUGAUCCUAAGGAGGUGUAUUUAUGGAAAUUAUGGUCAUAAUAGUUCCAUAAGUGGAACUCAACAUAGGCUUUUUAAGAGUUAAGACAUGUCAAUUGAAUAUAUAAUAGGAGGAUCUAUAACUCAAGGAUAAUAAAGGUAGUCUUGAAAGGCUGAUACCUUUCACCUUAUUAGAUUAUGGACACUAGUUCAUGAAGAGAAUAAACACAAUGAAUAGCAGGUCACGAAUCUGAGCACGUAGUGUCUUAUUGUUAUUUACAUAGGAUACUAAGUUUAGUUGAUUCUCUGUAGUAGGAUGUUGAAUCAACUUUAGAAUUGGAUUAUGAGGUAGUCAAUACUCCUAUUGGUCCCAAUAGUCCCCAUUUUGAGCUUAUAUACCUUGUUGGCGUGCAUUAUGAGAGUCAAUUUAGCUCUAGGUUCACUUAUGUGCAUAAAAGCGCUUUGAUAAUUAUGUAAGGUUGCACAGAGGUAAGUGAACAAGGUCUAUGGAUUGAGCUAAUUGAUUAACUAGUAGACCAUAUUGGGUUAAUUAAUAAAUUAAAACCCAUUUUGGGUUAAAUUAAAUGACUCAAGCCCAUGUGGGCUCAAGUCACUUAAGUCUAAUUAGGAACUCUAUAAAUAUUCCCUACGGGUUAGGGUUUUCAUAACUUUUCUCUUCCACCAUCCAGAGAGAAAGAGAGUCAUAGUCUUCAUCCUCCUUUCUUCCUCACCAAAAGUGUGUUAAGAACAAGGUUGAGUCAUUGAGCGGAAGAUCAUGGGUCUACAAGACUUCCAACAACUUGAAAAUCAUCUUCAACAAUUGGAAUUUAAGGUUUGAGAACAUCCAAACCUAAAGGUUAGAUCUUUAACCCUAAAAAAUCAAUUUUAAAAAAAUGGUUAUUGCUUCCAUUACUUAGAUCUAAGAUGACAACAUCAAUAUCUAUUCCUCAGUUUGAAGAGGGUGUGUUGAAACCGUAUGAUUUUUAGGAGUUUAAAUCUAAAAUAAAACUAGAAGAUGAGGCUUGAUUGAGUCUUAUUAUGCUAGGUUUUUUAGUUUGGAUAAGUCCUAGAUUUAUAGGAGUUUGAAUUUAAAAUAAAACCAGAAGAUAAGGUUUGAUUGAAUCCUGUUAUUUUAGGUUAUUUAGUUUAGAUAAGUCUUAAUGUGUUUAAAUUUGGUUUUAUCUCUAGUUUGAAUUAGAAAGAAUAUAUCAUAUAAUAUUUUGUAAGUUGGUUAGUUGCUAAAUUCAGGGAUUGCUUUGUUUAUAUAAGUUUUGGAUGUAAGCCAUUUUUUUUUUAAAUAAAGUAUUAUUCAAUUUCUCUUCCAAAUUCAAUAAAUACCCCUUAGGGGUUAGGGUUUCCAUCACUUUUUGAAAUGAGUUGUUUUCCACCAUCUACAGAGAGAGAAAAUCAUAGUCUCCACAUUCCUUUCCUACUACUUGUGUGUUAAGGUUAAGGAAGAUCUUGGAUACUUGAGACCUCUGAAAAUUUCGAACUUCAUCUUCACGGCAUGAAAUAGAUUUGGGAACAUCCAAAUGUAAAGUAAUGUUUUUUAUUGCACAUUCUAAAUCCUAUUAUUGUUUUAGAAAUGCUAUUUUUCUAUGCAUAGGAUUUAAAAAAGCCUAUGAAGUCUUGCAUGCACCUAACUUGAUUUUGAGACAGGAAACCAAGAUAUUCGGGUAUCCCUACAACAUGUCCUUAGAAUCCCACAAUAGGACACAACCUCAAACCCAUAAGAUAUCAUCAUGCAUAUCUUAUGUAUACUUAUUACCACCUGUAGGGAAUAUUUUGAUUACUCCAUUCUUGUCCUUAGACUAGUUAGAGUGCAUGUUAUUCUUUUUAAGCCUCUAGAUCCUAGUAAUAAAAUCAUAUAUGCAUAUUAAAAACUUUGGAUCUAGAAGAGAAAUGCUUACCUUGAAUAUGGAUGUUUCCAAAUUAGAUCCUAUUAGUGAAAAGUUAUUAAAAAAUGCUAUAGAUGGUAUAGAUCUCACAGACCAAACGAUUUUAUACUACGAUGACUCAUUCUUGAAUCCAAGCACAAAGAUGGUAGAGAUCUCACAAUAGUGGUGGUUAGAGUUUUUUCUCUCUCUUUAAAAUAAAUAGGAAGUAAGAUUGAUGCCUUUACCCCUAAGGGGGUUUAAAUAAGCUUAACCCCUCUUGGGCUUAGAUCACUUAAACUAAUCCACUUGGGUCUUAAUUGAUUUAUUAACCCAAUUGAACUCAAUUAAUCAAUUAACUUAGUCCAAAAAGAAUAUUCACAAGUUCUUAUACAACCUUGCAUAGUUACCAAAACCAAAACACCCUUUGUUAUUAUAGAAACUACUUGUCCUAUCAUGAUAUUAUCUUUUGUUAUAACUAUUCUACCACACUUCGAACACAUUUUUAUCUUGAUGUUAGUUAAUUGUCCUUCAAGGACAUCAAUUUAUGAUAUUUGCUUAUAUGUACAAAUUUUCAAGAAAUUUUACCUUGUACAACUUAUUAGACAAACAUCUUAGAAUAUACUUAUUAAGUAAUUGAUGUUAUGUAUAGAUAAAACAAAGAUACAUAUUAGCAAAUACAACAUAUACUAUGUUAAAUAAAAUGACAUAAUAUAAGAAAGUAAAUAUUCUAGGUGAUAAUUUAAGAAUAAACAUUAUUGAUCAAUUAGUCAAUUUUAUCAUUAAGAUUUUCAAAGAAAAUUGGAAUCAUCUAAGUGAGAUAUGUCAAUCUCAACUCUAUCGGUAAGGUCUUUCUCUAUCUUCAAUCCUUUUCUUUUAAUAACACUCGAUAAAAGUCAAACAAAUGUUUGAUUGUACUAUAUAUACUCAUCAAGUGUCAUUACAUGUGACACCUUUAACAAUCAUUUUUUUUAACGAUUUUUUGUGGGUUUAUUUUGCAAAUCGAACUUUCUUUAUCAUUUUAACUUAUCUUGGCAAGAUGUGGUUUUUUUUUUUAAAUAAAAAUAAAAAUAAAAAUAAAAAUGAUGACUGCUAUACAAUCAAGAGUUUAUUUAUAUGAUGAUUUAUAUAAUUAUAUUAUAUCUUGGUCCAUGAAACCAUUCCUAAUUUAUUACAUUUACUUCCGAGAAUGACUUUGAUCUAGUUGACUAAAACUAUGAUCUUUCAUAUAAAAGUUGUCAUUCUAAAAUAUUUUUAGUUAUAGUGAGCUGUGGGAAGGAUUGUAGUGUUUUAGUAGUUAUAUUUCCCUUGCAUGUAUGUUUCACUUUACGACUUAGGUUAUAAAUUUUCUAUAUAAAAACAUUGUUUGUAUGACUUAUGAACAUGAGAAAUUAUAAAAUUAACAUUUUUAUAUCACUCAUGAGAAAUCAUAUCAUAGUUAUUUUUUCUACAUAACUUUUAGUUAUAAUAAUAUAUAAAAUCCUUAAAUUCAUAUUCCAUAAAUUUUUCCCUUGUGAAAUACAAAUUUUAAAAUAUUUACACUAAUCUCCCUAUUUUUUAAGUGACAAAAAAUAAUUUUUGAGAAAGAGUAUUGCAUUUAUUCAUGGAUUCCUAUUCCAAUAUUUUCCCAUGUGAAAUACAAUUUUUAGUAACAUUUACACUAUUUUUUUUUUUUUUUACUAAUUUCCCCUAUUUUUCCUAAUGAAUAAUUUUAUAAUAAUAAAAGAAAAUUUUCCAUGGUUUCAAAUAAAGUUGUGCAAAAUUAAAAUUUGAGAAGUUUGUUUUGUAAAAAUUUUGGUUAUAAAAUAAAAUUAAUUAUUUGCAUGGCUUCCGUUAUAGAAUAGUUAAUGGAUAAUUUUGUUCUAUAUCAUUUCUAAUUACACAAUAAAAUUAGAAAUGUUUUAUGACUUCUAGUUAGGAGGCAAGUGUCAAUAAAAAUUAUCUUAAAAAUUUUCACUUAUGAGAUAAAGUAAAUAAAAAUUAUAAUAAAAAUAGAACAUGAUGAAAUACACUUUAAUUAAUUUUAUUUUUAUAAUUAAAAUUUGAACUUACUAGAGAGUAUUAGGGUGAAGAUUUGAUACCAAUUUUUUUAGUAGAAGGUAAAUAUCUAGAAAAUUUUUAAAUAUUUAUAUUUAGAAAUAAAUUAUAGUUAAAAAAUAGUCAUUACAUUUUUUAAAAUAAAAAUAAAAAUAAUUUUUUGUAUAGCUUUAACCAUUUAUAACUUAUGAAAUAAUACUAUAAAUAAGAAUUUAACCAUUUUAUUUAAAUAAUAGGGCUAUUUAAUUAAAAGAGCCAUUAAAAACCCAAUUUUAGAAAUCCAAUCCUUAAUUUUUUUUGGUCAUAUUUUGACAAAAAUGUCUUUAUUCUUUUUUUAUAAAAAUAAUAAUUUCUUUUAAAAUUUACAUAUAAAUACUUAAAAUAAUUAAGGACAUUUAUGUUAAAAAUAAGUUACUCUGAAAAUAAAAACACAGAAAUAUUAAAUUCAUAAAUAUGAGAAUUAUUUCAUCUUUUUAUUAAUCAAUUCUAAAUAAUAUGCUUUUAUGUCAACGAGUGUAUUUAUGAUGUUUACAUUUUUAAAAAAAUAUCAUUUAAUAAAUGUAAGGGCAAAUUUAUAAAAGAAAUUACCGUUUAAGGGCAAAUUUAUAAAAGAAAUUACCGUUGGACUUUAACAGUUUUUGUUAUCAAACAAUAAGAUUAAAUUCAAUGCUUAAAUAUAAAACAAUAUCAAACACUUUUUGCUUCCACUAAUUUCUGACACUUAUGAUUUCAAUACUACGUGUAGGACCUGAGGCGCUACUAACUCUCCUAAAAGCAAUUGUUGUUAGGAAAGACGCAUACCCUAACCUUAUAGUGCAUUCACCCAAGCGUCCACGAUGAACAUAAGGAGAGUUGAUGGAUGCGACCAACCUUCCGAUCUGUCAACACUACAGAUUUUUCGCACCUAUAAAAGAACUUUUACAUUUUAUUCGAGAGUUAUUGUCAUUUUUUUUUGUUUUUAAAAAUAAAAAAUAAUUGAAUUUAAAAAAAAUCUCAUAUUGAAUUGAUUUUAUUUAGCCGUACAUUUGUGAAAAUAUAAUUCCAUUUCAAAAAUUAAUUCAACAAUUGAAUAAAGUCAAAAUCAUUUCUCUUCCUUUAACUUCAUGGUUAAGGAAUCAAAUGUUCUCAUCGGAAGGCCCAUCAUAACAGUAUGGCCCUGACUGUACAGAAUCACAACCUCCUAAAGGGCGAAAGACCUUGCCUUAGAAAACCGAGUGAAAAAGGAAAGUCCCAUUCUCUGUUGCCGAAGAAGAAGAAGAAAGGAAGCUAAGUUGAGGUGAGAUUUGUAUGGUUUUUUCUAUUUUCUUGGCAACCAACCAGAUUAGUUUUUUCUUUUCAUUGCUUCCAUUCUUGGAUGGGAUCUGAAGUUUGUGCGGGAGCAGUCUGAUUCUUUCGUUCGAAACGGUGUCGUUUUUGUUGCUGCGAAGCCGAAGUCGAAGCGACUUCGCUCUUCGCUUUGAUCGGAACCGUGGAUUUUCGCCUUGGUGAUUGGAUAUAGGUUGUAGUAUUUUUAUGAUGUUUUCGUGUUUGGGCUUUGCUGUAUUUGAUGAGCAUUAGGGUUUCUAUCACAUGGCGCCCUCUUCGGAGCCGUUAAGGUGAUAUUGGUUGAUGGAGCCCUGCUUUAGAUAAUGAUCCAUUUGCUAGGCUGAAUAAUAUCAUACAGUCACCGUUCCCGAUUGUUUUUUACAAUAUAUAUAUAUAUAUAUAUAUAUAUUUUUUUUUCAUUUUUCAUUUUUCUGUUAAAGAAUUUUUCCUUGAUUGAAAGUCGGUGCGGGGUAGUAGCAUGCUGUCAAAGCUGCUGCUAUUCGAAUAAUUUUUUUGGAUUCCUUUAUUUUUUGUUAUGUGUUUGUGUGUAUGUUUUGCCCUAACAAUGUGUAGAAUUAAUAUGUGGUUAGCGAUGGAUCUUAGUAGGAUUAUAGUGAUAUUUUAUGGUUCUGGAGUAACCAUGUUAAUGGGGUCAACAGCUCCUGCAGAACAUGUGUGAUGUAUGGAGGGGUUGUUUAGGGUGAGAGACUCUACCAUUAUGGGAGUUGUUUUCCAUGGUAUAUAGUCAUAUCAAUUCGUGAGUCAUGGAAUGCCUGUUUGUUGGAUUGUCCUCACUUAAAGAUUAGGUUAUAAGUGAGCUUGUGUUUUUGAUGGUAAGAUUAAUUAUCCUUUGGUGUCUUGACUGAGAUGAAAACAAAAAACCAUAUCAGUCCUAAGUGUUCCGAUUCAAUACUGCUGUCUCUCAAGCUUUGCUGAUUUCCAGACUUAAUGGAAAAUUUAUGUCCCAGAGCAGCAUUUCAGAUGAAAAGAUAUCACCUUGAACUCUACUAAUGUAGCAUGUUUGGGGUUUAGCUUCCUAAAAAAGUUACCUAUGAGCAGCUGGAUUAGAAGCAUAUAGAUGAGAAAGGAUAGUAUGUGAUUGUGUGGACUAUGAUCAUGUCAAAAUUGUGUUUUUGGUGUUUUGGAAGUAUCUUAGGUGUACUCCCUUUAUUCUCAAACUACGAAAAAGAUGAAUGUAUUUUACUUUUGAGGGACCUUAAAACCUGCAGAAAGUAUCUUAGUUGCCAAAGGAUUAUGUUGUUAACCAUUGGAGAAAUGUGGGAAUGGCUCUGGGAAGGUACUUUGGUUAGCACUAUAAAGAAAGUUUAUGGAGAAAGAGGUUAAUAUCAGAAUUAGGCAUGAUGCUAAUGAUAUUAGGAUACAAAUGGUUCAACCUCUUGUAGAAUGGGAAGCUUGGAGACUUGUGACCCACAUAUUGAAUCUUGAUUGAUGGAGAUAUCCUUCUUCUUUUCCAUUAAGUACUGUGGAGAUAUAAUUACUGUGUGUAUAAAGGGACAUAACCCCUGUACCCGUGGAGCAUACCUGAAGGCCACAAAGGGACAGAAGAGGAAUACAAGAUACAACUAAAAGUGAAAGGAGCAAAAAUGACAUGCACGCACAGAGACAUCACUCCAAACAAGGAUACCCCUUCCAUAUAUUCAAUGAAAUCUAAGAAGGAGCUCCUAUGAUCCACAGUCAAUGUUGAUGACCACACAAAAUGGGAGAGAAAAAUCGUGCCUGUAAGCUUUCAGCCUGGUAAUUCAAGGCCCUCAUACGUUGUUGAAUUGUGCCCUUUCCACAACCCUAAUGGAAUGCUCAUCGGGAUUGCACUUCACAUCUUCUCCUUUCACUCCUCGCUUGUCAUGUCAACUCUCCUACACACAAUUUCAAGGUUUUUGGGAUAAUCUAGAGAACUUAAAGCAUCGUAAAAACAUGGACCACUUUUUAUGAACCAGUGGGUAAUAAGCAACAAAUGGUCCUUGGCCUCAUGAUUUGACUUACACAUGUAAUACCAGUUGGAAAGAUUUUCCCUUUUCUAACCAACUGGUCAAUGGUUAAAAUUCUAGUCCAAGCUACCAUUGCACUGGAAUGAAUGCCACUUGAAGAGGAACUGCAGGAUCCCAAGUCCAUUUUUUGGGAAAAGCCACUUCCUGUCUUGCCUCUUCUUACAGAAGAAUUUAAUCAAGAAAUUCUUACAUGAAAUCAACAUCUACCAUCCACCCCCCACCGUUAUUGUUUCACCUAUUCAUCAACUAAGGUUUUCUCUCUUCCUUUUUGCUUGCUUGUUCAAUGCUGUGUGUAUAUAUUGUGUGUACUUUGCCUGUGCUCUUUUCUGGCACUUUUAAUAUAUUUUCUCAUUUGCCUAUAAAAAGAAGAGGGAAAAAGAAUCUUCACCGAACCUUUAAAACUCUAAUAAUCAGUCACCUGGUCAUCCUUAUUACCUGGAAUCUUGAACAAGUUGAGGUAUCCUUUUAUUUUUUAUUUUUUAUGAGAAACAACAAUGUAAUAUAUUGAAUUAGGAAUUAAGAAGUAUAAUAGAAGAAUGAGGAAUCCUUCCACAAACAAAAGCUAAACAAAAGGAAUACCAUAAACACAAGUUGAGGUAUCCUGACACUCUAAUAAUCAGUCACCUUGUCAUCCUUUAUACCCGCAAUCUCGAACCAGUUUGGAUAUCUUGAAACUCAAAUAAUCAGGCACUGUUUCAUGCCAACCUGUUGCCAUUUCUCACCUUGAACCUGCAAUGUCAAAAUAUCUCUCCCAUCCAAUGCCGAUUUUUCAUAACCCUACCGCAAAGGAACCUUUCAACACCUUGGAACACUACCCUCUCACUUCUUCCCCAUACUUAUCAUGCACUACUCUUUCCUAGCUAUUGCAUUGCCACAAUAAAAUCUCCAAAUCCAGUUACCCAGCAUAUCCUUAUUCAUCACCUCCAAACAACCCAACUUCCUUUGACCAGAAAAUCACCUUCCUGUUUGUUGGAUGAGUCUUCAACUCCUUUGUCCUUUCUUGAGGCCCUUCUCAAUCAUUUUGCCUUUUCCUAACUCACUUUGGAAUGAAAAAUGUUGACAUAAAAUAAGUUGGCAUAUCUGUUAAUUUUCUUAUAUUAAAGCAACUCUUACCGCUUGUUGACAAGUAUUGUCUCUUCCUGCUAGCUGGACACCUUCAACUCUCAGAAUAAUUGGACCCCUCACUAGGUGUAUUAGGAGGACACAUGAAGGGAGGCCAGGUUAGUGCAAGAACACACCCUACAAUUAAGAAAAUGAGUCAAACCUCCAACAUUCUCCUCCAUCCUGAUGGGGGGAUGAUCUUGCUUUUCACCAAGUCAAUCCUUGACCUUGGAACUGCCUUGAAACAAAGAUCCACACAUUGAAGAUAUCUUAACUAGUUCCCCUUGCCUUAUGAAGGCAAUUUUUUCAUCAGCAUAUAUAAGAUGAGGAAUGAGCUCUCUACGAUUCUCCCUCCACCAUGUUGAAAGCCUUCAAUGAAAACUUAUUCCUUUGCUUUGCACAUCAUCCCCCUACCCUGAAUCUCAAGCAAGAAUGGUGAUAAAGGGUCUCCUUUUGAGUCCCUCUAGAGUUCUUAAAGAAUGCAAUUGGCAUAAUGCUAUUGAUUGCUGAAUAUCUAAUUGACUUGUUGCAUGUUUCAUUCUACUCCAUGAACUUUUCCUUGAAUCCCAUAUGCUCACAAACAUAAAGGGUUUCUAUUUCACAUGAUCAUAUGUUUUCUUUAUAUUCAACUGGCAUCUCACAUUAGCAUUUUCCUUUCUUGGCAUCAAUGCACUAGGUUAUCAGAAAUUUUCUUAUCCUCUUCAAGAAUCGUGUGAGCCCAAAUACCAACUUAUCUAAAACCUGUCUCAAACUUCAAGCUAAAAGGCAUGGGUAAGCUUGGAAAUGUCCUCUUAUAGGCCUAAAAUUUUCUGGAUCAUUUUCUCCCCUUUUCUUGAAACAAACACAAUGAAACUUAAUUUAAACUUUUCUCAAAUUCACACAUAACAUGAAAUCAGCUCACCAGUUCCAUAGCCUGCCUUUGUCCAGUCCCUAAUUUUGAUAUUAGUAAAAAUACCAUAAUAGCACCCCAAUUUAGAAUUGUCACCCCCUAAAUCUUUAAUAGCCUUGGCAACCUCUUCCUCCUCAAAAUCCCUUUUAAGUAACCCUUAUUUAUUUGCAAUGUCCUUGUGGAAUGUGAUUUGACUAUAGUUAUUUCUUGGGUCUAAGAGAAAAAGUGAAAUCCAUGGAAAUGACAUGUAUAAAAUCAGUGAUUUAUCUGUAGAGUUGGGUUGUUCCUAUACUUGGCAUCCUCUUCUAACUGACCAAUCAGUAGAUAGGUUGGUAAUGUGAGGUGCCUUAUUUCUAAAUCCUAAGUAGUGGAGAAUAUGCUCCCUUGAUAUCUGUAUUUUCCAUUUGUAUUUUGAUGGUUUGCUUGUUUUGGCUUUGCUUUCUUUUGUUGUUGUUCUCUUUAAGGGCUUUCAUUCCUAAUAUACAUUGAAUUUGUGAAUUGGAGAAGUAUUUAUUGUUUCAAAUGCAAAAGGGAAGGGGAAACUAGAGCUAAUCUUCAAAUCAUCUGCCCUAGGCCUUCAAGGCACUAAGUUUGAAUAUAAACCUUGGAAGUAAUGGAUAACCCUGAGGCUAGUUUCAUUACUCUUGUAUUUCCAGCCUAUGUUGGUAAUCAACAUACUCGUAUGGUUAUAGGGCUUGUGCAUAUGGUGAGUAAAAGCAGCCUGUAAAAGAAUGUAUUCUUGUCUCUUUUUUUCAAUCACAGUGCCUUCUAACUUUGGCGGCAAGUAAUCCCCUCUAUUUGGCCAAUUUAUGACAUGGUCCUUCCUCCUGUAUUUUUCUUUUGUUUUCUUAGGUUGCUGUACAUUUUAUGUUUUGAAAUUAGUAUUUAGUUCCAUAAGGCCCAUUUAUGUUACAUGAUUUGUUUGAGAGAUUGUUAUGAUUAUUAUUAUUAUUAUUAUUAUUUUCUUUUUCUUCUGGUUCUCUCUGGAACUUGAACCUGAAACCUCCCAUAACCCUGGCCUCUUACCACUUGAGCUAGGCCGUAAGGGCAGAUUUUCAGUAUUUGAUUUGGAAAUUGUAUUUUAUGUUUGAGGAUAGUUUUUUCUUUGCUCGGUUACUAUUCUGUGUAGGUUCAUGCGGUUAGCAUUUGCUGGCUUCAGCUUGUUUGUGUCAUUCUCUUGUUGAGUGUUUUGACUUGAUAUGUGAAAUGAUUGUGAUACCUUGGUCUCUGGGUUCAAGGUGUCGGCCUUAAUCUUCUUUAUUUUUUAUUUUUUAAAAUCUUAUAUCUUCAAAUAAAUAAUAAUAAUUUUUUCCCCAGGGCUGAAAGUUCUUUUUCUGCUUCUGAUUUUAAAUUACACUUGGAAGAGGUUAUGGGAAGUUAUUGUUAUUAUGGUCUUAUGUUCGAACAUAAAUUGGUGUAUGUAGUUGAGCAAUUCAUAAAUUCCAGUCAUUUUUUUUUCAGGCCAUGAUUUUAAGAUUUAAUUCAUUCCAAGAAUUUGCAUUUUGAUUUGAUGGGUCAUGCGAUUUAGAAUGAUUUUAUAUAUUAUUGAACUGAAUUCAAGUCUAUUUGUUCUAAAAAUUUGUGAAGGCAUUAUUGAGUUUUUCUUGGGGCAAUUUUGAUUUAAGAAUAUUUCUCAUAUAUGACAUCUGUGCUGUACUUUUUACUGAUUUAUCUCGCUGGCCCUUAAAGCAGGGAAUUUCUACAUGAUGGCGGAGUGAUGCAUUUCUCAAUGACAAAGAUCUGUUCCUGCUAUAGCAGUCAUCUAUUUUUUAUAGUAUCAUAGUCUUAGACUGAUACAUAUGGCUGGGCUUUUAACUGGGGAUCCCUCGAAUAGUGGAAUUUUUGAGGAUGGAUCUUGCUGCAAUUCAAAGGAUGGGCUAGAGGAAGGUGGUCAUUGGUAUAUGUCUAGGAAGGAAAUAGAAGAAAAUUCCCCAUCAAGAAGAGAUGGCAUUGACUUGAGGAAAGAGACAUAUUUCCGAAAAUCAUACUGCACUUUCUUGCAGGAUUUAGGCAUGAGGCUUAAAGUGUAAGUCCUAUACAAAAUGUUGUUCUGGAUUAUGUCUCCUUUUUGAACUGGUUGUAGGCAAUUCUUUCAGGUAAUUGGUUGCAUCAUUUCAGGUUUGCAUUGAUAUUUUAGUUUACAUCUUUGUUGCGUUUUUAUUACACUUUUUUAAGUAGGAUUAUUAAAUUGAGUUGCUGAAAAUGGUUCUUAACCAAAUUCUUUUGCUUGAUGUGAGGUGUACAAAGUGUAGAUGAAUGAAAUUGCUGUUUGAUUACAUGGAACUUCUUUAGUAGAUAAUGUGGGAAUAAUUAUUUCUGAUGGUAGAUGUUGUAUGGUGGGCCAAUACUGGUCCUCUGUGCAUGUAGUAGAAUUAAAGAUGUAUUGUACUCAUGUAGAUUGUUUCCUUGAUAGUCAAAGAGUUUUUAUUUGCUUAUGGAGACAACAUUAAUUUUCAGCUUACUUGAUGUGUUGCAUGAAUGCUUCUAAAUCAGUGACAUAGGUGGGCCUCUGCACUCUCUAAGCUUCUCUGUUUAGAUUUCAUUAAUUCUAAUCUGCUGCAGAGCUCAAACUGUCUCUAGGAGAAUAGUAUAAUUUUAUUAGGAGCUUAAUGUCAUGGACUUAGUCGUUUACUAAGCUCCUGCGGCACUUAGACAAGUCAAGACGCUUGAUCUUGCUAAAUCAGCCUUACUCCCAAUGCUUAGCUUGCUAGGCUAAGACGUUUGCGACUCGGAAGUUGUAGAAGACGUAGUAGGCAACUCUUAAAGAAUAGAAACUUCUUAUUACUCAAGGUAGCCUUUACAAGUGCUUUGAGGACUCGCUUGGUUAGGAAGUGAUUUGGGUGGUGCCUUGGCCAAAUGAGACCCUUACCUAUUUAUAGGCACCAAUGGAACUCUCUAGAACCUUGGAGGGUUCCUUACAAAUCAAGAAGAUUCUAGAGUGCCCUACACAAUUCUAUGUACAACCCUAUGUACAAGAGAUCUCUAGAAUUCUCUAGAAAGCCUUGGACUCCUCUCAUGCCUUCCACCAUAGUGUAGAGAUGUGUGAACAUCUCUAGGCAUCUCUAGAACCUUUCCCACUCUUCCCUCCAAUGGCUUUGUGUAGAUGGCUCCAUGAGUCUCCAGAAGCUUCCUGAGCUCUAUAUAAACCCAUGAGGAGGCUCAUUUGAAGCAUCCUGUGACAUUAAGCUAACUGAAGCUUUGCUUUCUUUCAUGCUCACAUACUGUAGUUUAAAUAUGUGUUCAUGUUUGUUGAAGCUAUUUUUUUUAAUAAAGGAUAAGAGGAUGAUGGGGAUAUGCCCCUAAGGUUUUUUCAAAAGAAAAAAAAAUAAAGGAAGAAAAGGGUGUUUUGGCAUUUUUUGCAGAUUUGGGUUAUUUGGAGUUAACACGAUUGGUACCUUAAUGAAGUCAAGCUUGAUUAGUAUGUUUUUACAUCUCAUCCUUUUACCCCAAAAUGCAUUAAUUCCUAUGUGAUUGCCAAUAAAUGUUAGUGGAGACCUUGCAAUGUGCAAGCACAAGCACAACAUGUGUUCCAAGGGUACAUGUUUUCAUAAAUUUAUUGACAUAUUGCUGCAUAAAACCUGGCCAAAUUGUUGAUAUAAUUAUAUACCAUAACAUUUUUUUUUAUCAGAAUAAUUAUAUAACAUUUUUUUUUAUCAGAAUAAUUAUAUACCAUAACAUGAAUAUUAGAAAUCUGGUUUCAUUGCAGACCCCAGGUAACUAUAGCCACAGCAAUAAUAUUUUGUCAUCGGUUCUUUCUUUGCCAAUCUCACGCAAAGAAUGACAGAAGGGUGAGUGACUACUCUCUUUCCAAACUGAUUAUUUUUAACCAUCUUGAAUCUUGUUCAUAAGUGUUGAUUUAGUUUUAUCAUUUUGGUUCAAGGAUGAGUUGUAGUGACAUAUGGAGUUCUAGUGACACAUUUCAAAACAUGAGCAGUGGUUUGGUCUGAUGUUUUAGAAGUUUUUGAUUUGAAUUAAUAAACUUUAAGUUGUAGUCAACAUGUGACAUUAGCAAGAAUGAGGGCACUUACUAAAAGCAUGUUCAUAUGAUUUUUUCCCCCUUAGAGUUAAGCUAUUUUAUCCACCAUAGGAGCCAACAAGAAGGAUGUACAAGAAUGCCCAGAAGUAAAUACAGAGGCAUACUAUUGAAGAAAUUAUCAUUGAUUCUUGAUGUGUCUAAAUUUGUGUCAUGUUGACAGUGAUUCGGCUCACUAUUCAUAAGUAGGAUCAUAACACUUGGAUACAGAAUCCCUGUGUACUUUGGUGUGCUUUUUGAUAAGCUCUGUACAUAUAUUUUUUUGCUUGCUUAUCAGGAAAAAAAAAAAAAAAAAAGAAGAGCACUUGGGUGCAGAAUCCUUCCAUAUGGGGCACAACUCCUAUGGUGUUGUGGUACUCUGGCAGCUGUUCUUUUUCAGAAUUUUAGGGAUAAAAAAAAUAAUUGGUAGCUAAGCAUGCUUACUUAAUAAAACAUAUAAAAUGGUUAUCUUGAUUAGAUCAUUACCUUUCUGGUUUAAUUGCCUGUUUCUUUGAACUACAAGAAACCAGGGUUGGAUUAUUUUUUUUUUAUAAUUCAUAAGACUGCCAACCUUUCUGAGGGUGCCAAGUACUCUAUGUCAUUAACAGGCUAUUCUUAGGCUCUGGUCACCUUGUGCUAUUUUUUAUUUUGCCUUUAUUUAAUCAUAUAAAUUUUUGAUGUUUGCUGCAGAAUUCCUUUUUUUUUUUGGGCAAAUGAGCUAAGUGUGAUUUGAGGGUAUGCAGAAGCUAUGAUAAGAGAACUUGUUGUGCAUGGGAAGAAAAGUAGAUAAAAAUGAAAUACGCAAGAGAUUAGUUGGUUUUGCAUUUGAUCCAUUCUUAUCGCUACCUUCUUUCAUAUGCUUUACAGACCAUCGCCACAGUAUGCAUGUUCCUCGCAGGGAAGGUUGAAGAGACUCCACGCCCACUGAAGGAUGUUAUCCUUGUUUCCUAUGAAAUAAUUCAUAAAAGGGAUCCUGCUGCUGUCCAGAAGAUCAAACAGAAGGUGCCUUUUCUAUUGUUCAAUGCUUUUACCAGUAUAUUUGUAUACUUUCUUUCUCAUUCUGAUGCUUGCCUAUUCUCCUCCAUACCAAAAAAAAGGUUGUGGUUGGGGGCACAAGUGCAAGAAGCUACAUAAUUAGGGGUUUGGGUAUGAAGAAGUAUAUGAACAGGAGUGAUGGGAAAACUCAAGAAACAAGGUUUUACAGAAAUAAUCCAACAGUAUCUUUAUUAAUUUGUAAGAACUAAAGAAAAUAAACUUGUAAUCAUACGAGAGAUGCACUGAAAUUUUUUGUUGGGAGGUUAAAGGAUUUAAUAUCAUGUGUUUUCCCUCGCAACAAACUUAGUUUGGAUAAAAUUAGAAGGAUGAGAUUAAGCAAAUAAGAAGAACAUGACUGAAGUUGUUUCCUUCUAGUCUAAUUAUAGUUUCAAGGUGUUCUCUGAGGGCUGCCAUUGUGUUGCAGCUUUUAGUUUGGAUAAAAUUAUUGUUUCCUAUACUGAUUAUUAGGGAAAAAAAUAUAACAUUUUGAAAAGAUAAAUAUAACAUUUCGAAUGCUUUCUUGGAAUGUAAGAGGGGUUAAUGGCAGAGACAAAAAGAAGGUGAUCAAGGCUUUGAUAAAAAAAAUAGGGUGGAUUUGGUUUGCUUGCAGGAAACUAAGAUCCAGGAAAUGUCAAGGGGUCUUGUUCAUAGUUUAGGAGUGGGGAGAUUCUUAGAAUGGGGAGCUGUGGACUCAAGGGGAGUUGCUGGAGGUAUAGUGGUUUUUUGGGAUAACAGUGUGUUGGAAUUGGUCAAAUUGGAAGCGGGCAUGUUCUCAAUCUCUUGCCAUUUUAAGAAUUGUGAGGAUGGUUUCAGGUGGACUCUUAAGGAGGGAUAGGGAGUGUUUCUAGGGUGGGUUGGGGGCCAUAAAGGGACUUUGGAGUGACCCUUGGUGUGUUGCUGGGGUUUUUAACUCAAUUAGAUGUCUUGAAGAGUGUAGCAUGCGAGGGAGUUUGAACUUAGACAUGAGAAGGUUCUUUGAGGUAAUAGAAGACUUAGAGUUAAAAGACCUGCUGUUGUUGGGGGGGCCCUUUACUUGGAGUGGAGGGGUGAACAAUCAAUCAAUGUCAAGGUUGGGUCGGUUCUUAGUGAAUGAGGGGUGGGACUAUCGUUUUAGCUAGUUGAUGCAGUGUGUCUUUUUGAGACCUGUGUUUGACAAUUUCUCAGUUCUUUUAGAUAGUGGAGGUUUGAGGAGAGGCCCCUCCCUUUUAGAUUUGAGAAUAUGUGGUUGAAGGUGGAGAGCUUUAAGGAUCUCCUGAAGUUGUGGUGGGAGGGGGACAACUUUAAUGGCUCUUCAAGUUUUAUUUUGGUGUCAAAAUUACAUGUUGUGAAGUUUAAACUGAAGGAGUGGAAUAGAGAUGUUUUUGGCAGAGUUGGAGUUAGGAAGGAUUUGGCCUUGAAUCAAGUGGACUAUUGGGAUGCUAAGGAAAAAACUAGCAUCUUGUCUUUGGAGGAGUUGGAAGCAAGAAAAGAAGUGAGGAAAGAUUAUAAAAAAUGGGUUCUGUUAGAAGAGAUUUCUUGGAGGCAAAAAUUUAGGGAAGUGUGGUUGAAAAAGGGUGACAGAAAUACUGGUUUUUUCCACAAGAUGGCUAAUGCACACAAAAGAAGGAAUUAUGUGGACAUAAUUAAUAUUAAUGGUGUUUGAAUUUUGGAGGGGAAUGAAAUCAAGGAAGGGGUGGUCAGAGCCUUUCUGUCUUUGUUGUCCAAUUCGGGGGACUGGUAUCCUUCUUUAUCUGGGUUGCAGUUUGAAACGCUAGAGACUGUGGGCACUUUAGGUUUAGAGAAGCCAUUCUUGGAAGAGGAGGUUUUUGGUGCUCUGUAGGGGUGCAGUGGGGACAAAGCACUAGGGCUUGACGGUUUUUCUAUGGCAUUUUGGUAGUUCUCUUGGGACUUUGUGAAGGAUGAUGUGAUGAGAUUCAUCAGGGAAUUUUAUGAACAUGGUAACUUUGUUAAAAACCUGAAUGCAACCUUUUUGGUUUUAAUCCUAAAAAAAGCGAGUGCUGAAGAUCUAAGGGAUUUUAGCCCUAUAAGUUUGGUGGGGGGGCUGUAUAAGUGGCUGAUCAAGGUUUUAGCCAAUAGGCUAACAAAGGUGGUUUCUAAGGCCUAAGGGGUGUUUGUGGAGGGUAGGCAAAUCCUAGAUGCAGUGCCGAUUGCUAAUGAAGCCAUUGAUUCGAUCUUGAAGAAUAACGAAUGUGGUAUCUUGUGUAAACUUGACAUAGAGAAGACAUAUGACCAUGUGAACUGGUCUUUUCUUCUCACAGUUAUGCAGAAAAUGGGUUUUAGGGAGAAAUGGAUUGGGCGAAUCAUGUGGUGCAUUGACACUGCAAGUUUCUCUGUGUUGGUUAAUGACACCUCUACUGGUUUCUUUCAAAGCUCAAGGGGUUUGAGGUAGGGGGAUUCGCUUUUGCCUUAUUUAUUUGUGAUUGCUAUGAAGGUGUUUAGUUGUCUCCUAAAGAGGGCAAUGGAUGGAGGUUUUUUGUUGGUUUACGAGGUGAAGGGUAAGAGUGGAGAAGGGGUUUAGAUAUCCCAUUUGUUGUUUGCUGAUGAUACCUUGGUGUUCUGCCAAGCUUCCUAAGAUCAAAUGACCUAUCUUAGCUAGUUGCUUAUGUGGCUUGGGGUCGUAUCGGGGUUGAGAAUAAAUUUGGAAAAGAGUGAAUUAAUUCCAGUGGGUAGGGUGGAGAAUAUUGAUGACCUUGCAAUUUGGAUUUAGAGUGGGUAGCCUCCCAUCCACUUAUUUGGGCCUUCCUUUGGGUGCACUGUUUAAGUCAGUGACAAUUUGGGAUGGAGUAGAAAAGCGGUUCCGUAGAAGGUUGGCUAUGUGGAAGAGACAAUACAUUUCCAAAGGAAGGAGAACGACCCUACUUCGAAGCACGUUGUCGAAUUUACCCAUCUAUUUUAUUUCUUUGUUGCGCAUGCCGAGCUCUUUAGAUAGAGACUAGAGCAAAUUUAUAGGGAUUUCCCUUGGGGAGGUGGAAAUUAGGAGCGAAAACCUUAUUUAGUAAGAUGAGCGUUGGUGUGCUUAAGUAAGAAGAAAAGGGGUUUGGGUGUCAAGUGUCUUUCAACACUAAAUAAGGCUCUUCUUUGUAAAUGGAAUUGGUGGUUCGCAAAUGAGAGAGAGGCUUUGUGGAAUCAAGUGAUUAGAGGGAAGUACGGGGAGGAAAGAGGAGAAUGGUGUUCUCGGGAAGUGAGAGGCAUAUGGUGUUGGGUUAUGGAAAGGGAUAAGGAUAAACUGGGACAUUGUGGGUACUAUGAUUUCUUUCCUUGUAGGUAAUGGGCGGAGGGUAGGAUUAUCGAGGGAUAGGUGGUGUGGGGAUUCCCCUUUGUGUGUGUCUUUCCCAUCCUUGUUUGCUUUAGCUGUUGAUAAGGAGGUGUGGGUGGUGGACAUUUGGGAUCCCUUGGCUGAGGGGGAUUGGGGGGGAUGGAACCCUUGUUUCUCAAGAUCCUUUAAUGAUUGGGAGGUGGAGGAGGCGGAAAGCUUCUUGAGGCGUCUACAUGGGAAGAGUGUGCGGUGAUGUGGAAGACAUGGUGCUUUGGACCAAAACAAAGAGUGGGAAGUUCUCGGUCAAAUUCCUCUACUAUGCUAUAGAGCUGGGCAGAUCUUCUUUGUUUCCCUCAAGUUGCAUUUGGAAUGUGUGGGUGCAACCCAAAAUUAGCUUCUUUGCUUGGGAAGCUACAUGGGGCAAAGUUUUAGCUUUGGAUUUAAUUCAAAAAAGAGGGUGGGCCCUGACAAAUAGAUGCUUUUUGUGCCAUGAGAAGGAUAUAAACCACCUUCUUCUUCAUUGUACUAAAAUAAGGGUCUUGUGGGAAUUGUAUUUAACCUUGGUUGGGGUGUUAUGGGUGUUGCCUUCUUUAGUUAGAGAGACUCUCCUUAGUUGACAUGGUUCUUUUGUGGGCAAAAAGUGUAAAAAGGUGUGGAGAGCAGCUCCUCUAUGCAUCUUUUGGACAGUUUGGAAGGCAAGAAAUAGAUUAGCCUUAAAUGAUGAUGUGUUUUCGAUUCAAAGACUCAAAUACCUUUUUGUUUUUUCUCUUUGGUCAGAGGCAAAGUUGUUUAUAACUAAUUGACCUUUAACUUUAGUUAAUUUUAUUAAUUGGUUGAGCUCUAGUUAAGGUUGUUUUUUUACCCAACUAGGCGCUUGUUUACUUGUACUUAUUGGCCGGUUUGGUGGUGGGUGUAUGGGUAUUGUAUACCUUGAGUUGCUCUUUUGACGCCUCUUUUCAAUAGAUCUUUUCUUUAUCUGUCAAAAAAUAAAAAAUAAAAAAAAUAAAACCACUUUUAUUAAAAAAUUAAAAGUGUCACUAGGACACACGAAAGUACACGGGAUGUAUGCAAAUAGCGCCUAAUAGCAUAAAAAAAUGAGAAAGAGCCCCAACAACAACACCCUUGCUUAACAAGAACCCGACCACUAAACAAAAUCAAGUAAAGACAUAGAAUUUGCCCUUAUGUACUUCUUUACCGAAGUAAACAAAUUUCUAAGAAAGAACAUUUUCAAAAAAUGACUUGAAUGCUCCUCGUUAUCAAAUGACUGAAGAUUCCUUUCUGCCCAAACCAUUCAAAAGAUACAUAAGAAAGCUGCUCUCCAAACCUUUUUACAUUUUUUUCCCACAAACAAACUAUGCCACCUUAAAAGAGCCUCUUUAAUAGUAGCAGCUUGCACCCAAUGGAUACCAAAAAGAUCAAACAACAACCGCCAAAGAAUCCUAACUUGCUCCACUAAAGGUGGGAAUUCUGACCAUAAUUGAAUCACAAAGCAUGAUGAGCCCACCACCACGUUAAACAAUAUCAACAAAUUUCUACCAUCAACUUUUACGAGAACUUUGGCACACUGCAAAAUUGGUAGAAUGUGGUGUCUUUGUCGAUUGCCACAAAACCACCACAAGUGUUCCCUAGUUUUAAAGAAGGUUACUUUAUCCCAUAAAUGCACAAGCAGGUCCACUACUCUCAUCCAUGCCUCUUUGACAUGAACACCUUUCCUAUAACAACCCAUAAUUGGAGACCAUCUACUUAGAAUACCUAGAAAAAGCAAUUUGUCCAUGAACAUCCUUCGUCCACUUUGGAGGGCCUUUUUUGCAUUAGAUAUUAACUCAAAUUCAAACAAGUUGACUUUCCCCUUUAGACUCCAAUUGUGCAUUCCCUCCUCUUUAAAGGAGGUAAAUUUGGGAUGUAAUAUGACGAUUUUCUUCGUUGUCUUGCAAUACAACCCCGAAGGACCUCCAUUUUUCUUCAUGCUUCUUCCCCUACUUGAUCUACAUUGCAUUGCCAAUCUCUGUCUAAGAACCAUGUACAAUGUAAAAAAAAAAAGACUUGUCUUUCUUAGAAGCCAUUGAAACACCCAUUGCUAUUGAAGAUGUUUUUGCUAGGGUAACUCUUUGGUCUUGUAGCUAGAAGAAAUCCCAAGGCUUCUUAACUCCCUAGCAAGAGUACUCCAUCCCCUAGGGAAUUCUCUACCUUCUAAGAACACCAAAACAAACCUCCUCGCCUCCAUAGAGCAUAAGAAAAAUCAUCCGGCCACAUUUCUUUGGAGCUCCAAUGAAUGCUUUCUUCCUCCUUUACUAUAAGCCUCUUGGAAAUGCUUUCUUGGAACCUUGAGACAACAUUCUUCCACCCCAGUUAGGAGUUGUUGUGGGAGUGAUUUCAAACUCCUAACUUGCUUUUGUGGAGGGAAGACAAAUCUUGGAUGCUGUCUUUAUAGCAAAUGAGGUGCUAGACUCAAGGUUGAAAAGCUAAAAAAGGGCGGUCAUUUGCAAAAUGGAUAUCGAAAAGGCCUAUGACCAUGUGAAUUGAGGAUUCUUAUUAGCAAUCUUGGAACAAUGGGCUUUGGGGCAAAAUAUGUAAGGUGGAUGAAGUGGUGCAUGUCCUUAGCUUGGUUUUUGGUUUUGAUUAAUGGGACCCCUACAAGUUUCUUUCAAAGUUCUAGAGGCCUAAGACGGGGAGAUCCUCUUUCCCCUUUUCUCUUUAUUUUUUUUUUUUUUGAUCAGAAACGAAGAAGAUUAUAUUAAUAAAAGAACAAAUACAGCCCUUUUCUCUUUAUUUUGGUAAUGGAAGUGCUUUCUAGUAUUUUGAAGACGGCUAUGGAGGGAUUCAUUAAGGCUAUGUUUGGUUCCCGGAAAAUUUGAGGGAAAAUGCGAGGGAAAGAAAAUACAAAGGAAAAGUAGAAGGAAAGAAAAAGUGAAGGAAAAUAAAAAAAUAGAUUAAAAGUUGAUAAAUUAUUUUUUUUGUUACUUCAAACUCAUUUGAUUUAUUUUAACUCAUCAAUAUAAAGAUUAAAUAAUUUAAAAAUACAUAAGUUUUUAAUUAGUUUUAAUUAUAUUUGAUUUUCUUUGAUAUUUUUCAUAGGACAACCAAACAUGAGAAAAUCAUUUUCCUUAGCAUUUUUUUUCUUUCCUUUGUACUUUCCGGGAACCAAACAUAGCCUAAGGGUUUCUUGGCCAGUGGGAGAGGAGGAGAGGGUAUGGUAGCGUCCCAUCUUCUUUUUGUUGAUGAUACAGUGAUUUUUUGUGAUUUAGAUAAGGAGCAUUUGGAGGCUUUGAGUCGGGCUUUCAUGUGAUUUGAAGUGAUUUCUAGUCUUGAAAUUAAUUUGGAUAAGAGUGAGUUAAUCCUAGUGAGAGAGGUUUCUAAUGUAGAAGAGUUGGUUAGGGUGGUGGGGUGUAAAGUGGGCGCUCUUCUUCUACUAUUUUGGGUCUACCUUUGGGCACUUCCUUCAAGUCUUUUCUCGUCUAGGAUGUAGUAGAGGAAAGAUUUUAGAAAAGACUCGCUAUGUGGAAAAGACAAUACUUAUUGAAAGGAGGGAGAUUGACUUUAGUUAAGAGACUUUAUCUAGUCUACCAAUCUACUAUAUGUCUUUAUUUGUAAUCCCAUGUAACGUGAGCCUUAGAGUGGAGAAGCUUCAAAGAGAUUUCCUUUGUUGGGGGGGGGGGGGGGGGAGGGAGAUUGACUUUAGUUAAGAGACUUUAUCUAGUCUACCAAUCUACUAUAUGUCUUUAUUUGUAAUCCCAUGUAAUGUGAGCCUUAGAUUGGAGAAGCUUCAAAGAGAUUUCCUUUGGGUGGGGGGCGAGGAGAGCUCCAAAGAAAGCCUCAUUUAGGGAAUUGGUCAUUAGUUAGCUUGGAUAAAAUGGAUGGAGGUUUGGGGAUUAGAAAGUUGUUCACUUUUAACAAAGCCCUCAUUGGAAAAUGGAGCUAGAGAUUUGCUUAUGAGAAUGAGGUUCUGAGGAAGUUGGUGAUUGUAGGGAAGUAUGGAGAGGAAGAAGGGGUGUGGUGUUCUAGAGUUUCGAGGGAAGGUUAUGGGAUGGGUCUUUGGAAGGCAAUCGACAAUGGGUGGAAGGAAUUCAACAACAUGGUUGUUUUUAGGGUAGGCAAUGGUAGGAGGGUGAGGUUUUGGAAGGGUAGGUGGUGUGGGGAGGAUCCUUUGGUAGAGGCUUUUCCAGAGUUGUUUUCAAUUGUCAUUGAUAAAGAAGCUUGGGUAAACCAGAUGUGGGAGCAAGUUGGGGAAGGGGGUUAUUGGAACCUAGUGUUCAUAAGACAGAUAAAUGAUUGAGAAUUGGGAGAGGUGGAAGAGUUGCUUAAUAGGUUGCAAGGGCAAGUGAUCAGAAGUGGUGUUGAGGAUGUUAUGGUUUAGCAGGUAACAAAGGGAGGCACCUUUACAAUGAAGUCCUUUUACUACUCCCUAAUAGGACGUUCUCCAAAAGGCUUCCUAUUAGGUAUUGUGUGGAACCCUUUUGUCUCGAUGAGAGUCAGUUUUUUUGCUUGGGAAGCAGUUUGGGAAAUUUUUUUAAAUCUAGAUCAACUAAAAAGGAGGGGUUGGUGUCUUCCAAGCAGAUGUUGUUUGUGUAAAGAUGAAGAGGAUUCAGCAAACCAUAUCCUUCUCCAUUGUCCAAAGGCGACCUUGUUGUGGCACCUCAUCCUUGCUCUUUUUAAUGUCCAAUGGGUAAUGCCUUUCUCAAUCAAGGAUACCUUUCUUAGUUGGCGGGGAUCCUUUGUUGGGAAGAAAAGAAAGAAGGCGUGGAGAGCAGCUCCUUUAUAGUUAUUUUGGACCCUUUGGAAAGAGAGAAAUCAAAGAGCCUUUGAAGAUUUAGACUUGACAGACCAUGCUAUUUUAUGCUCCUUCAUGUACAUGUUUUUGGAGUAGGUUAGGGUACAUUUAGGGUCUAACACUUUGUCUUUAUUCGACUUUAUUGAUAGGUUGGGUUGUAAGUGAAGUGAGGGGGGUGUUUUUUUUUGUGAAUCACUCUCUUUUUUGGCCUUGUAUACAUCGUGUAUACUUUAGACGCUUUUAAUACAAAUGCUUUUACCUAUCAAAAAAAAAAAAAAAAAGAAAUCUUUCACCCCUUUUAGUAAAAUAACCAAACUCUUUUCUCCAAGUCUAAUCCAACUUGAAAAUCCCUGACCCCUCUCCAAUAUCUUGCCUACAACCUGUCCUUUCGCCACCUUGACUUUGAUCUCAAAGGAUUUAGACUCUACUCUAAACCAGCCUUUACCUAUUAAUGUAGUUUGUUUCCUUUGUGCCAUACACACCAUAACAAGCAAGGAGGAGCCAUGUUCUCAACCCUCCUUGUCUUUUGUCUAUACCCCCUUCACUUUCCAACCAAAAAUUAGCUCUUUCACAAAAUCUGGAAGCACCCACAGCAACCUUAAAAUUGCUAACAUGUUCCACAAGUUUGUGAUUUUGACACAAUAGACUAGGAUGUGGUUCGUUGAUUCCUUAUUGAUGCAUCUAUUGGCAUCAGCCAUCCUCUCCUUAUAAGGACAUCAAUGGGUAUGAUUUUUCUCCAUGUAGCCUCCCAAGCAACCCCCCAAAAAAAAAAAGAAAAGUUCUCAAAGGGGCGUAAAUGCCCCAAAUUUCUUUGGUGGGGAUCAAAACUUGAAUCUCAUCAUGUAAGAAGUUGUAGAAAGAUUUUACUUGGAAAAUCCUAUUUUUCUCCUCCCUUUAAAGAAAACUAUCCUCCCAUUCUUUUCGUACUCUUAACCUUGUGGAAAUGCUUCAUAAAUUGCAUCACAACCCCCAACUUCCAAUCUUGAAAAUGUCUUCUUAGAAGAAGGGACUGGGAGCCUUCUUUCUCCAUUACUACCCACAAGUCAGACACCGUUGCAUUUCUAUUAGAGGCAAUCUCAAAUAGUUGAAGAAGCAAAUCUUUCAUGGCACACUCACCCAUCAUUAGACCAUUUGGUUUUGAGGUUUUUCCUAACCAGAAUAGAGGUUCUAAGGCUAAAUUCUUCCCAUCCUCUUAUUGCUUUCCAUAAACCCAUAGUACAAGCUUCUCUCACCUCUACAGUGUACCACCCUCCGCCACCUCUUCAUAUUUGUCUUCGAUUAUCCUCCUGCUUAGGCUAUUGUGCUCAAGGUCAUGUCUGCACAACCAUUUGCCUACCAAGGCUUUAUUAAGAACAUCCAACUUUCUAAUAUUGAAUCCUCCAUUCCUCUUAUCUUACACACUUCUCCAAUUCACAAUGUGCAAUUGUCUCUCCUUAAAAUGACUCCCUCACAAGAAAUCUCUCUGAUAUUUUUUCUAACCUACUCACUUCCUUAAGUAUCAUAAAAAGGGACAUGAAAUAUAUGGGAAAGCUUGUGAAAGUACACUUUAUGAGGGUCAAUCUUUCUUCCUUUUUUCAAGUACCCUUUCUUUUAAGGUGCCAAUUUCCUUUUGAACCUCUUCUUAAUUGAAUCCCAUACCAUAAAAGACUUUAUUAUAUGCUCCCAAAGGCAGCCUAAGAUAGAUGGAAGGGAGACUUCCAACCACCUAAACAAUAUGGCCAAAUAUCUAAAUCUUCCACUUCACUAAUCAAAAUUAUCUCGCUCUUUUUCAAUUUAACUUUCAAACCUGACACAAACUCAAGCCCAUUUCCAAUACUUCUAUUGCUUAACAUUAGCCUUGGGAAAAAAAAGAAAAGAAGAAACUGGAGUGUCAUAUGCAAACAAUACAUUUUGAUGCUCCAACUCACCUUGGUAAUCACCUUUUUUUAGCCUAUUUGUCAAGACAGCUAGGAGUUUAUAGAUGCUCCCAAAUCAGCCUAAAGUCCUUGAUAUCUUCCACACCUUCCUUUUUAGGAAUAUGAACAAAAAAUGUAGCAAAAGAUAUUCCAAUCUUGUGGUGGAUUGCAUUAGUCAACCUUUUUUUUUUUCUUGUUGAUUUGGAAAGAAAAAAGGUAUUCCUCAAGAUGUCCAUGCUCUCAUUUCUUGACAAAUUAGUAAUGUAAUCACCCUUAGAAAGAGAGCUAGAGCACAUAUAUCUUGAAUUAUAGCUCUCGUGUUCUAGUUGGAAGAAGAUAAUUAAGGCAACUAGAAUCUAAUUUGAGAAUAAUCUUGUGCAAAAUGCCAUAAGUUCUAGCAUGAAGCUGAUUUUCCAGAACAUUUAGAAUAAAUGGAAUUUACAAAAGAAGAUAAACUUAGAUGCUUUUCACACCUUAUAACUUUUUAUUUAUUUUCUUACUUAGCUUAUGGUAAGCUUAUUUUUUGGAUCUCUUUCACCAAAGGAAUUUUUUGUCAUCUUCCAACCUUUGUUUUUUUUACUCGCAUGCAAGGUUUGAUGUAUCAGCCAAUCUAGGUACACAACUUGACCAAGUUGUAUCCACCUCGGCCAAGCCUGUUCCAAUUCCAAUAUCCAAGUUUUUUUAACUUGGAGAUGAUAUGGUGGUCUGAGGGAAAAAUCGAAGAUGACUCAUUCUUUGAUGCUAUUUUUUAUUUUUUGUGGAAAAAUGGUUUGGGCCUAGAUUUCAUCCAUGUUUUCCAAUAAAAUGAGUAGAGAUGAUUGAGGUGCCGAUGUGGUGUGGAUUGAUUCAAAAGGGAGGAGCAGCCCGAAACUUGUGGAGAGGGAAUAUGUUUGAUUUAGAAAUGGAAUCUGGAUUUUUUGGAGCUAGAAAUAUGGUUUUAUUCUACUCAGUUGUAGUGAAAGAAAAAAUGGGUUUGAAAGAGAAGAAGAGGUUUUAUUCCACUCAGUUGUAGAGAGAGAAAAAAUGGGUUUGAAAGAGGAGAAGAGAGCAGGUGAUGAAGAAUAAUGAAUAAUGAAUGGGGUAAUGGGUAUUUGGGGUAAAUGGGGUAAUGGGUUUUUAUGGUUUACCCAGUGGGUAUUUGGGUAUUUAUAUAAUGAAUAAUGAAUAUAAUGUGAGAAAUAGAAAUAUGGGAAUGUAGAUAUAAUUUGUAAGAAUUUAAUUUAAUUAUAUUUUAGAUAAAUUACUCAAUUUUUUUAAUACAAUUACAUAAGGUGUAUAAAUUAAAUUUUGUUAGAUAAUAUAUUACUAAAAAAAUUAACAAUUACUUGUAUCAACAUUAAAUCAAAUGGCGAUAAAUCAUUUUAAAAUUUUUAUAAUUAAUUAAAUUUAACAUGAAGUUAUUGAAUAAAAGGACUUUUAGUAUUAAAAACUAAUCAAACACACUUUUAUAAUUAUUUAAAUAAUAUUAAUUAUAAUUAAACCUAAAAUUUUAUUAUAUUUAAUUGUAUAUAUUUUGCAUAUCAUCUGAUAUCGACCCAAGAUACUGAGACUAAUGUGCCUUAGGACCUCUCGAGUUAAUGACCAAGACCAUAACUUUGAACCAUGCUCGCAUGAUUGCCUGCUUUGUUUGUAUUAGUGCUCUGAGUUGGUUUUAUAUUUUAUUCUUAUCCGUACUCCUACAUUAUAUGUAUUAUAUUUAUAUCCCUUAUAACUUCUUAUUUCAUUUUCAUUUUUUAUUUAUUUCCAUGUGUUUCUUUUUUCUUUUUUUCGUUUUUUUCCCAGUGUGGUUUGAUGUUUGAUGCGAUUGAAGAUAUAUGAAUUUUAUGUAAUUAUCAUUUGUUUUGGUCAUUGAUCGGUGUCCACAAUGCAGGAAGUAUAUGAGCAACAAAAAGAGCUAAUUUUAAUUGGAGAGAGGGUUGUACUUGCAACUCUAGGUUUUGACCUCAAUGUUCACCACCCAUAUAAACCCCUUGUUGAGGCAAUGAAAAAAUUCAAAGCCGCACAGGAUGCUCUUGCUCAGGUUGCAUGGAAUUUUGCUCUUGCUCAAGUUGCAUGGAAUUUUGUCAAUGAUGGGUAUGAUUAAGAUGCUUUUUCAUGUCUCUCUUUUUUGAUAGUUCCAUUUCAAAUGGUCUCUCUUCCUCUCUUUCUCUUCUUCACUCACACACUGGAAAGCGGCUUGCAGGCUGAGGACAUCACUCUGCCUGCAAUUUAAGCCCGACCACAUUGCAGCAGGUGCCAUUUUCCUUGCUGCCAAGUUUCUCAAAGUGAAGCUUCCAUCGGAUGGUGAGGUGGUCUGGUGGCAAGAAUUUGAUGUCACCCCACGCCAGUUGGAGGGUUGGUUUCCUCCCCUUUUUUGGUGUAAAAUUGGUAUGGACUCAAUGGGACAGUCUUCAAACAGCUCUGUGGCACUGUUGCUGCAUAUGGAUGGACUGACUGUAGUGUUAUAUAACCUAUUGAGAUCUUGUUUCUGAGAAUUGACAAAAUCAGAUGAUUGUAGCUGUCCUUUCUAUUAUGUUUACAAUGAAUGGCACCAGGUAAGAAAUGGUGAGCAUUCUGUUAUAAACAAUAAAAAAUGGUUGGUUAUAGUCAUCUGAUCAAGUCUAGCAUUUUCCAGAAUGACUAGUAGAAUAAACCAAAUUUUGUGCCAUGGGCAUUGCUGUUUCAUUCAUGGGGCUGUCCUUUUGCGUCUUCUUCGGGUGAACCUUUUUGGAUUUCCCUAACAUUAUGGUUAUUUGUCUUGCAGAGAUUAGCAAUCAAAUGUUGGAACUGUAUGAGCAAAACAGAGUGCCUCCACCUCAAGGGAGUGAAAUGGAAGUUAACGCCAGUGGUGGACUAAACCAUAGGGGCACAACAAAAGCUCCAGUUGCCAAUGAGGAAUCCUUACCGGCUAAUAGUCAUGCUCAAGCAGGGGUUGGAGUGGUGUCUACAUUGAAGCCUGUAACUGCAAGGCAGUCAUGGCAUCGGCCAGCAUCUGACAAUUCAACUGCUGGUAAUCAUGGAGCACUCGUGAAAGGCACCCAAAAUCUAAGUAAUGAUAGUGGGAGCUCUGAGAUGGGUAGUGUUAUAACUGAUCAGAUGGCAGAUGGAGAGGCUCCGGGUGGAUUUAAAUCUGUGCCAGACCAGAUUGAGGGGGAUAAUGAAGAAGGGAAUGGUGGGAGAGAUGAUACCACAUCAACAAGAGAAUGGAAGAAUAAUGGUGCGUUACACAAGUCAGAGAGGGUGGUGGGUGGUCAAAAUAUGGAGACUCAAGAAGGAUCAUCACCCAAAUCACCUCAAGAUGGAAUGAUUAAAAUGAUUGACAAAGAUAAGGUGAAAGCAGCACUUGAGAAAAGGAGAAAGUCCCGUGGAGAGGUGAUCAGGAAAAAGGAGUUGGUGGAUGAGGAUGAUCUCAUUGAGAGGGAGCUGGAAGAUGGUGUUGAAUUGGAUGCCAAGGAUGAGAAGAUCAAGCGAGAGAGAAGGCAGAGCUGGUCUAAAACUGAGAGUCCCUGUUAUACCAAGGACCAAAAGCAUACAGGAGAUAGAAACCCCCUUGGAACGGAGGUAGAGAAUAUCGAAGAAGGGGAGAUGUUGGAUGACGCAUCGCCCAAGUUCAACAAUCGGAAGAGAAAGGAAAGGAGCCCACCUGAUAUACAGUCGGAGGCCAAAAAGUGGACUGAUUCUGCUCCUGGGUGCCACCACCGUAGUAAUCACCAAGGGCAUCCUUAAAAGUAGAAUUAUGUGAGGCCAUUUACUUACAGUAUUAGUAUAUGAUUUAUAUCUGGGAUGCCAAGACUUUUUCCAAGUAGUAGUAUUACACUAUUAUAUGAAUUGGAAUUGGAGGGUAGCUGGUUAUGGCAUGGUGUUUUUGGAUGUUUCAGUGGGGUUACUGGAAGGUGAUGGGAGGGCAUUUAUUUAUUUAUUCAUUUAUUGCCACGUUCAUGUUUGCUGCACUUGGUGAUUUAUUAUUAUGUUGUAUUACCCUGCCCCUCUAACAAUCACAACUCCAUAGCUAAUUCUUUUUGUUAGUGAUUAUUAUAUUCCUUAAAUAUCGAUAAGCCACGGAAUGCAUCAGUACAUACAAUUUCCUCUAGACGAUUGUUUUGUUUCUGUAGAAAUGGAAUUUGAGGCACCCAAAUGUUAUAUGAAAUAGGGUGGUGUUUGGUUCAUGAGUGGUGGGUCUCUUAAUGGUACUUUCUUAGCGAGAAUUGCAGCCACCCUCCACCACAGGGCUAGGUCAUGGAGAACACACGAGACGAGACCCAUGGGCCAAGCCCAUGGUGCCCCCGUCUCUUAUCCUCUCUCUCAACGUUAAUCACAGUCACUUAUCCAAUUUAAGAUUCUCAAACUAUCAAAAUUUAAUACCAUCUAAAUUCAGUUCAAGUGACAAUACUAAAUUUUAUAAAAUUAAUAUCUUACCUUGAGAAAAAUUAGAAAUUAAAAAGUUGUGCUAUGGUCUAUGAGGCUAUGAGAGUGGUGAUGGAUGGGCGGUUCAUAAUUCCCCAUAUAAAUUAUAAUGUUCGAGUGACUAUGCAACCCACACGCCUGUACCUGUCUCUUAUCCACUCUAGAUUUUAGGAUAGAAAAAGAGAGAGAUUCUAUCGCAUUAACCCACAAACCAAAAUCCCACACCCAAUCACACCCACCCACCUCACCCUCCACCUUAUCCUCCUCUCCACCAAUCCCACCUCCCUUGGAAUCUAAAAACCAUUCCUCAGUCCUCCGUCCUCAACUCUUCCAUCUCCAUUUCUGUCCAACUCCCCUGCCAACUCGCCAACAAUGUCUCUCACCAUCCCCACAAACCUCUCCAAGCCCCUCAAGCCAAGGCUCAGCUCUCCCUCCUUCCAAAAGGCAAGGCCUAUGAUAGUGUGCUCAGCCUCAACUGAGCCACAGCCCACCAACAAAUCUCCACUCCAAGCAUUCUCUGCUGCGCUUGCACUCUCCUCCAUCAUUCUAGCUGCUCCAGUCCCUGCCUAUGCUGACAUCGCCGGGCUCACACCCUGCAAGGAGUCCAAACAGUUCGCCAAGCGGGAGAAGCAGGCACUGAAGAAGCUGGAGUCAUCGCUGAAAUUGUACGCGCCGGACUCAGCCCCAGCGCUGGCCAUAAACGCGACGAUCGAGAAGACAAAGAGGAGGUUCACAAACUAUGCGAACCAAGGGUUGUUGUGUGGGUCGGAUGGGCUGCCACACUUGAUAGUGAGCGGGGACCAGAGGCACUGGGGAGAGUUCAUUACACCAGGGAUAUUGUUUUUGUACAUUGCUGGAUGGAUAGGGUGGGUUGGAAGGAGCUAUCUGAUAGCCAUCAGGGAUGAUAAGAAGCCAACACAGAAGGAGAUCAUCAUUGAUGUGCCUUUGGCUUCUAGGUUGGUCUUCAGAGGCUUUAUUUGGCCUGUUGCUGCCUACAGAGAGUUCGUCAAUGGUGAUCUCAUUGCCAAGGAUGUCUAAUUAUUUCUCUUCUAAGUUCUACCAUCACCACCACCAGGUUUAUAUUAUUAUUUGCCUUUUCUUUUCCCUAUGUUUUAAUAUGCUUUGAUCUAUCCAUGUUACACAUUGAAAGACUUGACCAAUUGAGAUUUGAUUUGAGAUCCACUGGGUAUCCAUUCCCUCUAAUCCCUGUUUAAGCUGGGUGGAGGCCCUCACAAUGUUUAAUUUGAUUCUCAAGCAUUUCACAUAGCCUUGACAACUACAUCACAUGGGCCAAGAAGUCCCCAAGAGUUCUAUGAUUGAUCUCUUGAUAGUGAUUAAUGUAAUGUGAUAGAAAAUUAAGCUAUAGUAUAGUCUUUAAUGAUUAUUGACUUAGUUUUUCAUCAUGUUUGGAUCAGUGGGAAAGACUUUGGCUGACAGGAAGACAAGGCCUGAGAUUUGGGAGUUGCAUGUGAGAGGAAGAGAGGAGUGGAGGCCAGUGGGGGAGAGGUGAAAGAUUUCUUGUAUUUAUUUUGUAAACUUAAUUGUAUCUAAUGCUUUGUGUUGAACACUAAGUCUGCCUUGUCUUUCCAUCUAUGAUUAUUUACACCCCUCUUGCACUUACCCUCUUCCUCAUUUUUCUUUCCCAUUUAGAAUGAUCGACUAACAAAAGAAUUUAUUGUUUUUAUAGAACAAAAAAGACAUUACCAUUGAAGGAAAAAUUCAUAGAACCAUCUCAAGUUUAAACAUGGAGUUUGUCUAAACUGGUGGAACCAUUUCCUUCCACUGCUAGUAUCCAUUUCAUUUAUCUCAUCUUUAAACUUUUCACUUCAAAAUUUACUUCCCUUUUUUCAGUUUAAGCUUCAAUUCUUUGAAAUGAGACUUAUGUUAGAGAACUUGGAAGCUAGAAAUUCAUAUGGGCCUCAAUGGGCCAUAUAUUAUAGCCCAAAGCUCUUGGGCCAGGAUUGGGCUUCAUGAAUUAUUAAAUGGGCCUCCUCUCUAACAGCUAUUUGUUCACUAUUUUUAGUUGAUUUAUCAUAAUAAAAAAUUAUUUAUUAUGAAAAACCAAAAUCCCUUUUGCCUAUAUUUUAAUUCACAUUCAUUCUUAUUCUUAUCUUCAUCCAUCUACUGAAAAACCAAACUCACCUUUAAUAUUUUCUUGAGCCUUCCCUUGGAUGUUAGGAAAAUUGGGCAAGAAGGAUAAUUGCAAAACCAUUCAAGAGUGAAUAUUUUCUCCAUCUUUCCAAACUUUUCAGUCUUUUUAAUUUGGGUCUGGAUCUGGAUCUGUUCAGAAGUAGGUGGUGACUUCUUCCAGCACCUACCUAUUGAAAUUGAAAAGAGGAUGGUGUAGCUUAUUUCAUCAUGGAAAGAUGUUUGUCAAAGAAGGCAUGCAUGGCAAGACUUUAGUUCCCUACUAGUUUCACACUAUAAAAACCUUUCAUGUCUAAGGGUUUUAAUUUUUAAGUUUUUUUAAAUCUCCAUCUUGAAAAGAAGAACAAGAAUUUUGAAUAGUAAGGCAUUGGGGCAUGAUCCUCUACAGUCAAAUAUAAUAAUCCCCUCAACUACUGCACCAUCUAUUCAAUGGGAAGUCAAAUGUUCACAAUCCACUAUUUAAUUACCCAUCAUAUAAAGUUAUAACCUAUUUACAAUAUUGUUAAUGACAAAGACCACCCUUUUCAAACCUAAAUAAAUGCCUCCUAAUACUACCAUCAUCAAUCAUCAAUCAUCAAUCAUCGCGGCUGCCCGUUGCCGCCACCACCGCCGCAGCCACCACCACCAAUGUGGAUGUAUAGUAAGGAUCUUGAAAUGGAGACAUACAGAUAUAAAGAGACAGAAAAAAAAAAAAAAAGGAAGAAAGAUGGGGUACAAAAUCUAAGAGUAACGAUAUAUAUAUUAUAUAUAUAUGUAAAAAAAAAAAGCAUAUUGAGAGAUUGGGAAAGGUAGGUAGGUAGGUAGGUUGCUAGCUAGGGUACCACACAGACUCUCCCAAGCUAUCAUGGUCAACAACCAUGUCCAUUUCAAAAAAUGGUUUAGUAUGUGAAGGGGGCAUGAAGUUGGACGAGGGGGAGGGGGAAGCAGUACUGUUGGAAGGGCUAAUGGGAUGACGAGUAGUGGAUAAAGAGGCUGCCUGCCGCACCCUCAAGUGCACCACCUCAGCUUGAGCUAAGGCCAGUUGAGUUUGGAGCAAGUCAAUUUGUUGUUGCAGUGAUGAAAUGGCCCCAACGCAUCCAUAAACCGGAUCCCGAACCCUUGCAUUUGCUUCAUACACCAUGCUACUCACUGCAUCUCCUCUCUGCUCAACCGGCAGCUCCUGCAUCCAUUUGAAUCUAAAUCUUGUAAGUUCAAAAAUAUUUAUUUAUUUAUUUUUUCCAAGGGGGUGCAGGUGCAGGGUCAGUUACAUGACACCUACCAACCCUUCUUUUGGACUUUAAUCGGUAGCAGAUUCUAUAAAUGUGCAUAGUGGGGCCUCCCUCUUGUGAGAAAUAAGAUCUCUUUUGGUGGCCCUAAUAUUUGAUGAUAAGGACACCAUCCUUCUAUGAAAAAGGACUCUGCCCCUCCCUCCCUACCCUACCUAUAAACCACUAUACCACCCUCACUCCCAACUCUCUCCACUAUCCCAAUACGAAACAUAAUCAGAGAUUCAGAUGACAACCAACUUCACGUGCUGCCAUCUUUUACUAGAAAUUUUGACAAAAUUAAAUACAAAAACUUCACGUGACGUGAUAUACCCGUUACAAAAAUUAACUCCACAACCUCCAAACCUAAAAAUAUCAUUUGUUUAUUGUGGUAAAAUGCAACGAAGAGAUGGAUGAAUGGGACAACGGUCACUGAGAUCACCUUGAUCUUCUUCUUUUCAUUGGUUGCAUUCUAUCUCUUGUGGACGAUGAAGGUCAAUUGUUAGAUAUUUACAACAAUGACUGGUAAAUUAGUUUAAGACUGUUUCUCUCCUACUCUGUAAAAAGUAGGGUCUAAAUUAAGAACCACUUCCAAGCACUUCCUCCAUGUGGGGUUUUUAGACAGAUUGCCAGAAUGGAAGAUGUCCCUUAAAUGAAAGAGGAUCAAGUGUUUUACUAAAUUUAGAUGACAAUUCUCUUCAAAACUUGGGAUAUGAAAAUGUGAGUAGGGAAAUGGAAAGGUAGUGGCGAAAGAAACCCUAAUUAAGUUAUUUUAGUGUUCAUGUUGAGAGGGAAAGAGACAAAAAAGAAGGGAAAAAUUAAGGAACAACCAACCUGUAACAUCUUGUUGACAUUGCUAGCACCAAAAACCUUGUGGACAUUAGCAAACUUUUGGGGCUCAUCUGCAGGAAAAUAAGGAGCAAAAACACAGUCCUGAGCACAUCUUCUCCUAAGAAGCUUGCAAGCUGCACAUGGAGAGGCUGCACCUUGCUUCCUACUACUCUCCUUCAUCUUCAAACCCUACCCCUCCACCCUCCACCCUCCACCCUCCACCUUCCACCCCUACUCUCUUUUUAGGGUAAGCAGCCAAGGACAACUUACCCUUAUUUUGUAGGUCACUUUGGCUCUUGAAAGGGACAAAACUAGGACCUGGCUUAUGAGUAGAAGCUGCAAGAAAGAAAGAGAGAAAGAAACAAGGGCAAAAAGAAAGGAACAAAGAGAUCAGAAGAAAAGUCUAAAGGAGAGAGGAAAGGAGUGGAGGGCAUGAGGGUGAGGGUGAGGGGGUGUUGCACAUUAUAUAUACAUAAACCAAUGGAAAGAUGCACCUCCCAAGGGUCCCACAAAACAACCCUUUAGAUUUUGCCACCUUUCAUGUCUUUUUUAUUUAUUUUUUCUUUUUUUAAUCUUAAAAUUUGCUCUAAGAUAAUAUUGUUAUGCUUAUGCAAUAUUCAUACUAUUCAUGUAAUGUAAAUAAUGAUAAAAAGUAUAAGGCAUUAGCUUAAUUAAAGUGGAUUGUUAAAAGAAGGAUUAUAUAUCAUAUGAAUGAGCAUGCAUCACAAUUAUGCUAACCCCAUCAAACCUUAAUUUUAAAUUCAUGUUUAUAAUAUAAAGUAUAUAAUGGUGUUGGGGUUGGAUAUGGCAACCAAGGGCUCCCCAUGUAACCUCAAUUAAUUGAAGGUUUGGCAUUAGUGAGUAUAAAUUCUAUUUUCAUAAAGUUAAUAAUUUUUUUUAUAUAAAACCUUUUUUUUAAUAAAAAGAUAUUGAGAAGUAGGAUAUCUAUAAAUUCGAUUAAUAGAUCAGUCACAAUAAUUUUCGAAAGCAAAUUUCGUAAUAUUUUUAGGCAAAAUUGAACGUAUUUGCUUUUUUGUAAAAACUUUAAUAUUAAAUAAAUUAUAUUCAUGUUAUUUUUAUUUUCAUUUUCAUUUAAAUCUCAUGGAUAGAAUAUUUGAAGCCCUUUAUUUCAUGUCCUAAAUAGUUUUUAAAAUACAAGACAAUUUUUACCCAUUAUAUCACUCAUACUCUAUUUGGAUGUUGGAUGUUGAAAAUUAUGAUAUGGGAAAAAAAAAAGAGAAAAAAAAUAAAAGAAAUAAAGAAAUUAAGAAAUUAAGAAAUAGAUUUAAACUCAAUAGAUUAUUUAUUUUAUCUUUUAUAGAAAAAUGAAAAUUUAGAAAAUAUAUAAAGUACCAAAUAAAUUUUAUUGCAAAUGUUUUUUAAUUAUAUUUUUUUAUGGUAUACCAAAUAAAAGAAUUUAAAUUUUCUUGUACUUUUUUUUUUUAUCCAUUCUGCAGUGAAUACUUUUCAUAUUUCAAAUGCAAUUUAACUCUUCUAAUAAAUAUUUAAUAUUUUUUCAUGCAGGUAAAGAAUAUACUACAAGACGCCCUACACAGCUAGUCUGCUCCAUUUUUUCCUCUACAAAAAUCAAAAGCCAUGCAAGGUGAAGAGAACAUUCACACUAUUAAUUGAAGUAUCAGACACACAACCAAAGAAUCCACUUGCUAGAUUUUUUUAUUAUUCUUUUCUUUUCAAGAUGCAUAUAAUAUUCCAUUAAAAAAAAUUGUACGGAUUUCUCAUCAAUUUUUAAAAAAUAAUUGCUCAAAAUGGUUUGGUGCGGGCACUUUGGUAGUUAUAAUUUUUAUAUUUAUUAAUCAAAUAAAUUUUGUGAGCAAUGAGUUGGUACCCUUUGAGUUGUGCACAGUUGAUCAUAAAGAAUAAUUUGAAUUGUUUUUUUUUUGUUUUUUUGGUCAAUGUUAAAGUAGAAUUACCAUCCCACCAUAAUCAAAGGUUAUGAUGACAAUAUGGCCUAUAAUUAUAAUUAAUCUCAAUCAUAUCAAAUUAAUAUUUGGUGUGAAAUAGUAUAAUAUUUACCUUGCUUAUAAUUAAUUAUGGUUUUACAUUUCAUCACACUUAAUUAUUAUCAUAAAAAUUGCAUGGAAUGGGUUAUCAUGCCUGGAAAAUAAAUAUGUGAAGUUGUUUAGGGAUUCAGAGCUAUUUCAACCAUCUAAUAAAGACCUAAUAUAAAUAUUGAUUUAAUAAAUAUAUAUAUAUUAACAAUGUUUUAAAAAUUGGAUCAAAUUGAUUGAACCAUUGAUCGGAGUUUGAUCCGAUCUGCUCUGACCUUUGAGCCAAGUACACAUCAAACUGGUCUUGAACUAGCUACAUCGAGAAUUGAAUAAAUAUAAAUUUAUGUUGAAUAACCAAUAAAGUUUGUAAUUUUGAUAUUAUGUUAAAUAAUCAAUUUUUCAAAAUACUUAAACUCGUAGAAUUUGGAAUUACAAUGUAUAUUAUGCAUUCUAACAAUGUUCAUGUGUUGCAAAAUAUAUUUACUAGUAGCAAUGGUUGGACUUUUGUUUUAAUUUUAUUUGUUUUAAUUUGUUACUUUAUUCUAACCUUAUGUGCUUAAUUAAUAAUGCCAGACCAUGCAGUAUCAUGCCAUUUUGGACAAAAGGAUGAUAUGCUUGCUUUCAAAUCAAUUCUUAUUAUUUUAUUCACAAUAACAGCUAGAAAGGGCUGGCCCUUGAUUAAUAAUAAUAACAAAUUUAAAAAAAUGAAAAUAAUGAUAAAUUUUUAAAAUUAUGAUAAUAAUAUAUUUUUUUCAUAAAAAAAAUGUUCUUAAUUUGUUGCUUUAAAAUUUUUUACUUAAUUUUUUUUUACUUUAAGUAAUAAAACUGUUUUGUAAUUUUUACUUAAAAUUUAUUUUAAAUCAUCAAAUUAACAUGUUUAACCUCAUUAAUUUUAAUUAAUAUAUAUUUCAUUGAUUUUAAUUCUUUUUUUUAAUUAAUUUUAAGUAAUAAAUUUAUUUAUAAAACAUCCAUAUUUAAAUUAUUUUAGAUAUAUAAGAUAACUUCAAAAUAUUUGUUAUAAAAAAUGAGUUAUGUAUGCCAAGUCAUGGUUGUUAAAUAAACUCUCGUUAGAUAGGAACAAAUAAGACAAAGAAAAAAAAUUAAGAUUAAACAUAAAUUAACUAUUUUAAUUUAAUACUUGAAGUUAUUUUUAAUUUUAAGUUAUGAUAUUAAGUUAUUUUAUCGAAUAUAUUUAAUUUAUUUAAUAACUUAAACAAAGUUAUUAAGUUAUUUUAAGUGAUUAAGUUGAUUUACUCAACACCUUCUAAAUAAUUACCUUUUUUGUUUGAAAAAAAAUGAUUUGAAUGAUUUUCUAUAUCAUCCUUUCCACCCAAUAAAAUGGAGACAAAUAAAAACAAAAUGAUUUCAUAAAUGGGUUAGUCAAAGAAAACAUAGAAAUUUGGUGAAAUGAAAUUGGUUAGUCAAAGAAAACAUAGAAAUUUGGUGAAGUGAAAGGACUGGUUCAUUUUUUCUAGUCUAAGAAAAUUCUCCCAACCAAUUUCAAACUAGAAACCAACCCUAAAGAACCGUCACUUCAUAAAAAGUGAUAAGCAAAGGAAAGGAAAAUAUUCAAACCGUUUGACACAUGUUAAUGAUUUGCACUAAUUAGUUAUAUAUUUUAGUAAAAGACAAUUAAAUUUCAAUAAAAAUGAACAAGGAACUUUAGUAAUUUUAUUUUUUUUACCAGUUAUUUGAUAAAAUUUAAUAUUUAUUACUUAACGAUUUAAAUUGACUUUAAAUUAAAUUAUACUUAAGUUAUUUUACUUAAAACCUAUCACUUAAUUCUUACUUUAAACAUUAAGACUGUUUGAUAAAAUUAAUAUAAAAUUUAUUUUAAAUUAUCAAAUUAAUACAUUUAUCUUUAGAAAUUAUAAUUAGGGUAAAGGAGAUCGAGUAAUAAUUGAGAUUGUGGAAUAGUAAAGAAGAUCGUGGACGUAAUUAAGAAAUAUGAUGGUAAAAAGGUAAAAUAAAGAUAUUAACUUAAGAAUAAUUUAAUUAUUUUUACUUAUUAUUUAAAAUUAUUUUUGACUUUAAAUCAUAUCAUUAAAUUAUUUAUUCAUAUUUCAUUUAGUUAAUGAUUUAAAUUAAAUUAUUAAAUCAUUUUAAAUUAUUAAAUUGAUUGAUCAAACACCUACUUAAUUUCGCAAUGGAUUUAAAUUAUUUGAUAGAAUGAAUUUUAAAAUUUCAAUCAAAUUUAUGUUGUUUGAGAAUCAUUUCAAAAUAUUAUUUUUAAUUGGUGUAUUAAGCUUCUUCUUUUCCUUAUUACGGGGGAAAGUACAGGCACAUUCAAAACUCAUCUGGGUUAAUUCUUUUCCAUUAAUUACUAGCUAUUAAAUUUAGUUCGUUUCAUAGUGAUUUUAUAAAAUUACUUUUAAUUUUAAAAAUAUUUUAAAAAAUUAUUACAUAUUUAACAAAAUUUAGGAAACAUUUUUAAAAUUUUGAAAAAUCAUUUAUAAUAUUGAAAAAUCACUUUUAUUGUUUUUUUUUUUGAAAAAACACUUAAUAAAUAAUUCUUCUAAAAACACUUUAUGAAAAAACACUUUUGCUGAAAACUUGUUUGACAGUAAUUUUAGAAAAUGUUUUUAGCCUAAAAAGUGUUCAUAUAUAUAUAUAUAUCAAAUUGUUGUUUCACAAAUUUUAUAAAAUAAUUUUAAAAAUCACUUAUAGUCUUGAGAAGUUACUUAUAGUGUUGUUUUAUGAAGCAACACUUGAUAAGUGAUUUUCCUAAAAUUACUUACAUAUAAAACAUUUUUAUUAAAAAUACUUCGUGUAAAAAUAUUACCAAAUACAAAAAUACUUCAAAUAAAAAUUUUAACGCGCAUUCUCAGAGUCUGUAUAACAGUAAUUUUAGAAAAUGCUUUUAACUUUUUUAAUAAUUAAAUUUUUUUAUCAUUCAAAUGUUAUAAAAACGUUUUAUAGAAUCAUUAUAAAACGGUAAUCUCAAUCACGUGAUAUGCAAUUUCACUCAAAAUUACAAGUAAUUAUUGAUCCAUUCAAUCAUUUUAGAAAAACAAAGACAAAAUUAUCCCUACACAAAUGUUAUGAAUAAAUUGGACGGACAUUAUAAAAACCAAUGGACCAAUCUCACCAAUAAUAGCUAUUUUAUUUUUAUUAUAUGUUGUGAUCCAAAUGGGGUGGCUUAAGGGGGGACAGAGGUGACCCCUAAAUGUGAUUAAAUAAAUUAAUGGUCAAUUAAGCAAAUGAUGAAAGAGCACGUGUACAUGUGAGUAGAGAAGAAAAAAAAAGAAAAAAGAAAAAGGGUAGUCAACCACCACCCUCCUCCUCCUCCCCCUUCUCCUCUAGGUUUAAAAUUUGAAAACAGAAAAUAUAUUUUGGUUUGGUCACACUUGUGGGGGCAUUCCUACAUUCGUCUGUCUCCACUAGUAAUUCGUGGUUUAGAUUUGGUCAACACUUUGGCAUAGGGAGAGACCCCAUUCUAUCUUUACCAAAUCUCACACAUUAAAUUGUUUGUCUCAUCAAAUUUUCAUAGCCUUUCCACCAGUCACAUAGGAAUGUUAUCCAAGAUUAGAUAUGUAGGGAUAAAAAUAGUUGUAAAAUUAAAAAAAAAAAAGAAAAAAAGAAAAAAGAAAUAGGGUCAUAUUAUGGCAUCCUAUUGAAAAGUAUCCGUCAAAUCACAAAUUGUCAUAUGUCAUAAAGGAUUUUAUUUCUUUGAUUCUUGCCAAAUGAUACAUAAAUUUCAUUUCUUCAUACUUAGAUACCAUUUUCUUCCAUCUCAAUCCAAUCUUUUCUACCUAAACUGAUGUAUUUGUACUAUUAUUUAACAUUAUAGCAUUCGUGGGUGUUUGGUAUUAAGUUAUUAAAUAAAUUAAGUAUGUUUGGUAAAAUAAUUUAAUGGUGUGAUUUAAAAUAAAAAAUAACUUUUAAGUAAUAAGUAAAAAGAAUUCACUUAUUCUUAAGUCCACAUAUUCAUUUUAUAUUUUUAUCUUCGUUUGACUUAAUUACAUCCACGAUAUCCUUUACUACUUCACGACUUUUAUUAUUAUCCGAUCUCAUUUGCCCUAAUUAUAAUUUACAAGGAUAAAAUAUGUUAAUUUUAUUAUUUAGAAUAAUUUUUAAAUUAAUUUUAUCAAAUAAUCUUAAUAUUUAAAAUAAUAAAUUUUAAGUUAACAACUUAAGUAUAAUUUAAUUUAAAAUCAACUUAAGUCAUUAAAUUAUAACUAUUAACUUUUACCAAAUGUCCCCUUAGUCAUAUACUUAAAUGGUUUAAAUUACAAGUUCGAUAUGAUAACAAAUUAGGAUUAUAGUAAUUUAUUACAAAGAAAUUGGAAAGAAACUAGUUUAAUCUUAUUAUAUAUAAUUAGCAUUUUCAACCACAAUGUUAAUAAUUUUUAAUGAAAUCUUUCUAUGUCAUGAAUCUAUUGAUAUUGUUAAAUAAGAAGUUGAGAUGUCAUACAUUACUAAUGAAAUGACUUAAAUAGUUUCACUUAUCGUCAAGUGAGAAUAAUGAGAGUAUUAGAUGAUGUUUGUUUUUUGGUUAAAUAGAAAAAACCAAAAUAUUUAACAUUUUCUAUUUAGUUAAAAGUAAUAUAUUGAUAUCAAUCAAUAUAACUAAAAUUUUAAUAUAUUGAAUAGAAAAAGCUAAAUAUUUUGAUAUUUUCUAUUCAGCCAACAAAAGUAACACCAUCAAAGGAUUAAUUGACUAGAAGGAAUAAAAUAAUUUCAAAUUUGUAAAAGUAGCCCCUCUCAUAUUUGAACUUAAAAAAUAAUCGAUUUUUUGAUAUAAAUGUCUUUCAAUAUUUAUAGUAUAUUCAUGUAAGUUUUGGAAGAAAAUAUAAUUUUUUUAAAUAUAUAUAUUUUUGUCAAAAACAUGUUAUUUUUUAGACUAAAAUACUCGGAAGGUUAAAUUUGUAAAAUUGAUAUUAUUUCAUUCCUUUUGAUCAAAUACCCUUAAUAAUGAUACUUUCUUAUAAAUUCCCAAACAAAUAUCCUUUUUCUCUUAAUUUCACAUAUUGAAUUCAUAAUUAUUCAAUUAAUUAGCCUAAAGGUCUUAAACUAAAGCCUAAAGUGGAAGGUACAAGAAUGUCCCCUUAGUGAAAGACAUACAACUAUUUUACAGCCUAUAUGUCCUCUUUAGAGCUAGUAAUUUUUUAUCAAAUUCUUUUCAUCUUGUCCCUUUAAGUUUCCUUUAUUUCAACAUUAUCUUUCUUAUUUUUUUUCCAUUCAUAUUUUUGACAUACAAAUUAUAUCAUUUUUAUAGAAAAAAUUUCAAAUAUUUAAAAAAAAUAUUUAUACAAUUUUUUAUUUUUUUAGGAAAAUUUAUUAUUAUAAAUGUGUUAAUAUCUAACUUAAAUAUUAAAUAUCUAUAAGAUAGUAGAUUGAAUAAGAUCAUAGAGAAUAUAUGAUAAAUCAAUUUAAUAACUUAAUAUGAUAAUUUAAUCUAAAUUAAAGAGUCGUAUUAAAUAAUUAAAUAUUAGUCAUUAAGUUUCACCGAAUAUCAUCUCAAUAAAUUGUUAUUUAUUUAUUAAAAUUCUAAAUUUAUCAUAAAAUUUUAUCUAAUUAAUUUGAAUAAAUCUUAAUUACUUAAUUCAUAUUUAAUAGAGUUUUAAUUUCACCAACUUGUGGCUUAUUACACGUAAAGCUUGUACAACAACUAUCAAGUGAAUAAACAACCAACCUUUUGAUUUUAGACAAGGAAAAUAAAAUUGGAUUUACUUUAUUAAAUUUUAAAAUUAAAAAUAAAAGCACAACAAUAAACAUAUUUUGAAAACAAAAGUAAAAAUUUUCUUUUAAAAAUGAUAAAUAGAAAAUAAACUAUCAAUUCUCCAAAAUGCAAUAAUUUAAUUUGUAUCUAAAUACAAAUUCUAAUGAUUGCCAAGACAAAAUUGAAAAAUAAAUAAAAAUGAAAAAUCUCUCCUUUGUUAUAGAAUAAAUGAGUUAGAAUAAGGAGAGACUAAGCAUUGUUUAGCAAUUAUUUUCGAGAACAGUUUUCUGUUCUUCAAAAUAAAAAAUAGAAAAACAUUUUUGACAACUAGAAAAUUGUUUUCUAUAUUCUAUUCUUAAAAAUAGAAAAUAAGAUGUUUUUAAAGAACAUAUUUUAGUUAUUUUCACUUGUUUUAUUAGGACCGUUUUAACAAAUAAUUAUACAAAUAUGUAGAAUGAUUAAAAACAAAUCACUAGAUAUAAAAAUUAUUUUAAAAACAUCAAAAACAUGUUAAAAAUAUUUCAGGUUUGCAAACAUACUUUUGUUCUAUAAAACAUUAGAAAAGAGUUUUAAAAAAUUGUUUUCAAAAAUUAUUUUUCAAAACUCUUUGAAAAUGGUUACUAAAUAGGGUUUAAAUGUUUACAAAAAAAAAUUCUUUUAUUUCAUUAGUAAACUUCCCUUCUUUUAUUUCAUUAGCAUAUUUUCAUUUUAUAAAUAGCCGUAAAGAAAUUUACUUUAGUAUUACAUUGAUUAUCUACAUUGAGAAUAGUGAUGUUUACGAUCAUCCAUAAAUUCUCAUAACGUGACAAAUUCUCAACAUACAACUUUCAAUUUUAUAACAUUUUCCCUUGGAUGAUCAUAAGAAUUUACAUUGUUAACAUCUUACUAGGAAAAACUCAAUUAGGACAAAACCUAUACGAAAGAAAAAAUAGUAUGAUAUAUCCAUAUCAAUAUUCUCCUUCUCAUGUAGACAUAAUUAUACUUUUUUCAAUGCUUCAACUUAUAAAUCUCUUAAUUAAUUUCCUCAUUCUAAUGUUGUAUCUUAACUUUUUCAAUGAUAAUAUUUAUGAAUCGAUAUGCUAGAUUAUCAUAUGACCGCAUUUGUUGAACAUCAAUUCCACCAUUUUCCAAGAGCUUAUGAGUAUAUAAGAACUUAGGGCAGAUAUGCAUAGCUAGUUUUAUCACCUUUAACAAAUCCUCCUUUAAUUUGUGUAGUACAAACUACAUUAUCUUCAUAGAACUUGGUAGAAUUUCUUUGAUAGAGGAUAGGCCACAUGAUUCUUGAAUAUGUUAGGUCAUUGAUCCUUAACAUACACAUUCACGACUUGCUUCAUAAAUUAUUGGUAUCUUUGAAUGAUUUCAAGAGAUUGCUACCAUUGUUUUGUUAACCAAUCUACAUGACAUUGGUGAAGAUAAAUACAUACCUUAUUAGGGAUUGAGCUUAAUGAGAGUUUUAAAGAUAGCCAACAUCUACAUAUCUAUCCAACUAAGUCCAACAUCUACGUAUCUAUGAAACUAAGUUUUUUUUUAUCAUUUUGAAUAACAUAAACCCAUGUUAGUUGUUCCAUGAAUAUAUCUUAGUACAUGUUUAACCCUAUAUAAUGUUUUCAAGUUAGUAUGAAACUAUAUCUUGCAAUCAAGUAGAUGGAGAAUGUAAUGUCUAGUCAUGUACAAUUUUCAAAAUAUAUCAGUAUACCAAUAAUAAUGAGAUAAGGUAUUUUUAGAUCAAGUAAUUCUUCAUUUUCUUGUUUAGGUCAAAACAUAUCUUUAUUCAUUUUAAGUGUAGGAACAACUACAAGGGAACUAAGUGGGCAUAAUUUGUUCAUAUGAAAGCACUUUAGUACUUUCUAUGUAUAUAAAUUGAUGUACUACCAUGCCACUUGGAAAAUACUCAAUUUGAAAGCUGAAGAUAAAAUUUGGUUUUCUAAGAUCUUUUAUUUCAAAUUAUUUCUUUAGAUGAUUAAUUGUUUUUAUGAACUUUACAAGAGUUUCAAUAAGAUUGCAAUAAUUACAAACUCUUACUUUAAUCUAUACAAAGACAUAAUUUUAAUCAUAUAUAUUAUGAUCAUGCUUGAUCUAUAAAGUGAUACAAUAUAUUUAAUUAUUACUUCGAACAUUAUAAUCCUUUAAGGGAUUAUUUGUUUCAAGCAUUUCGAAUCCUUUAGAGAUUUUGACAUAUAUGGACCUAUAUAAAGAUAUUAUAAUUACAUCAUAACGUAUAUAUCAAAUCCUUUAUAGAUUAUCGAUCAUAUUGAGCCAUUAUGAAAGUUAAUACAAAGUAUGCUAUAACUUUUUUUUUUUUUUAUCUCAAUUAUAUUUUCAUAGAGUAACCCAUUUGUGUCUACCAGAUUUUUACAUCUUCAAUUGUCAAACUUCAAGCCAUUUAUAUCUAGUAGACUUUAUGUCUUAGGAUAUUAAACUUUAGGUUAUUUAUGUUCAAUCAAAUUAAUAUUUUUAAGUAUUAGAUUUCAAGUCCUAAUAUUUAUAUAAACAAACUUAAUUUUGUCUCAAUUGUUUAUCUCCACUUUAGUUAAUUAUUUUUAUAUUGACAUUCUUGAACAAUUCAUGAUUUGGAAUCUUCAUUAUUCCUUAUGAGGUCUAGAAAGUGUUGAGAUGUGUGAGGGGUAAUUUUAUUUAAGAGGUAUUUUAGGUAUUUUACAUAUGUAUAGGUUGUCCUAAUUUCUCAUUAUAUAAGGAUUAUAAGGACGAUCGCUUAAUUUUUAGGGUGAGAGUGCAUGAAAACAAAGAAGAGGUGUUAGGCAUGAUAUCACUAGUAUUUUACACUCUAAUCAUAGUAGAAAUUCUAUAGUAGCAAAGUAGAUGCAACUCUCAUAUCAGAAGUGAACUAUUAUAAAUUUUGUGUGUGCUAUCUAUUUUUUUCUUGUGUUCUAUUGCUUUCUUAAAUGGAGAUUUUCUCUUAACAAGUGAUAUUAGAGCUUGGCUUGAGUGAGAACAAUGAAUGAUGAUGAUGGAUCUUGGUCUGGACUUGACAAGUUCGAUAGUAUAGAUUUUGCAUUAUAGGGAAUGCAAAUCAAAGAUUAUCUUUAUGGUAAAAAGUUACAUUUACAUUCCCUUGGGCAAAAUUAAAAGCAACAUCAGAUGCCAAUUGACAUCUUCUUGAUAGGCAAGUGUUGGAAAUCAUCAAAUUAACAUUGUUCAAGAACAUGGGACAUAAUAUGACAAAAUGGAAAAUCACUACAGGGCUAAUGGAAGUCCUACCUAACAUAUAUGAGAAGUUUUCUACAAAUAACAAAGUGCAUCUCAUGAAAAAAUUAUUUAUUUUGAAGAUGGGAGAAAAGGCUUCAAUGGUAGAGCAUUUAAAUGAAUUUAACAUGAUUGUUAAUCAAUUGUCCUUAGUUGAAGUCAAUUUUGAUGAUGAAGCUUAUGCCCCAAUUCUUCUAGCUUCACUACCAAAUAGUCGAUAACCUAUGAGAGCAACAAUUAGAAAUUUUAUAGGUAACUCAAAAUUAAAAUUUAAUGAUAUUAGGGAUUGAAUUCUAGUUGAAGAAGUUCACAAGAAAUAUCUAGGUAAAGCAACGACAAACUAACAUAGGAGUUAUGAAAUGAAUUCUACCCUACAUGUUAAGACCAGGGAUAAGAGUUAUGAAAGGAAUUCUAAUCGGGGCAACAAUAGAUCAAAUUUCAAGAAUGGAAAAAAACAAAUCUAGAUUUUGGUGAAAUGUGGAACACUUUUGGUCGCAUAAAGAAAAAUUGUAGAGCAUUGAAGAAGGAUAAAAACAAAAAUAGCAUUUCCAAUGUUGUGAUUGAGAAGGUAUAUGGUGCAUUGCUCUUAUAUAUAGAUAAUACCAUUGACUCUUAGUUGUUAGACUUAGAAGCCUAUUUUCAUACCAUUACGCACCACAAAAGUAUUGGAUAUUAUGUUGUUGGAAACUAUGUAAAGAUGUAUCUAGCUGAUAGAGAAUCUUUAGACAUUGCUGGUGUUAGUGAUAUCAGAUUGAAAAUGUUAAAUGAGUAUAUGUGGAAAAUCUAAAGGAUAAGGCAUGUACCAAAGUUAAUCUAUAACUUGAUCUCAAUAGGACAACUUGAUGAUGAGGGUCAUAAUGUGACAUUAUUGGUGAGACAUGGAAAGUCAUCAAGGGAACCAUGGUUAUUCCUCAAGAAAAUGAAUUAGAACACACUAUAUGCCUUUUAGUUGAAGGAUACAACUGCUAUUGUUGAUGCUAGUGCUAAUUUAUAUAUAUAACAUUAUAGGCUUGGGCACAUAAUUGCGAAGGGAAUGAAAGUGCUUUUAUCAAACAAAAAACUAUCAAGGUUGAAAUUUGUUAAGCAUAUCUUAUAUGAAGGCUGCAUAUUUGGUAAGUAGAAAAUGAUUAGUUUUUAUAAAGUCAGAAAGGAAUCAAAAAUAAGAAAAUUAGAGCUAGUUCUUACUGAUGUGUGGAGACCUUCUCCUGUUACGUUCCUUGGAGGCUUCAGUUACUAUGUGACAUUCAUUGAUGAUUCAAGUAGAAAGGUUUAGGUUUAUUUCUUAAAGAAUAAAUUUGAUGUUUUUUUAUGCCUUCAAAAGGUGAAGAGCCAUAGUUAAAAAUUAGUCAAAUUAAAAGGUGAAGUGUUUAUAAUCUGAUAAUAAGGAAGAAUACAUUCAUAAAGAAUUCAAACAAUGUUUGAUAAUGAGGAAAACCUCAAUAGAUGGUGCGACAAAAAGGAUGAACAUGAUGUUAAGUGAAUGUGCUAUGAGUGUGAGAUUGUAUGUAGUCUUUCAAAGAUGUUAUGGUUUGAAGUGAUUAACAUUACAUCUUAUUGAUCAAUAGGAGACUCUCAACACCAUUGGAUUAUAGAAUCCCAUAAGAGGUUUGAAUAGGUAAAGAGGUAAACCUUUCUUUUUUGAAAGUGUUUAGUUUUGUUUCUUAUAUUCAUAUUAACUCUACUACAAGAAGUAAACUUGAUCCAAAAUAUAUAAAAACUGUUUUUAUUUAUUUAUUGUUUUUGGUGAUAUUGAGUUUGGUUAUUGCUUUUGGGAUGACCAAAAUUGAAAGAUUAUCAAGAGCAGGGAUGCUAUUUUCAAUGAACAAGAUAUGUGCAAGGGAAAAUUGAGCAUAAAGUCUAAAAUAGAAUGUCUUGAAUUAAAAAAAAAAAAAAAAGGUUUAGUUGCAAGAUUUUCUAAUGAAUGAGUUAUAGAAUAGUGAUUGAGAAGAUCAAGAAAAUAUAACUAUAAAGAUGAACCAUAAACUCCUGUGAUUGAACUUAGGAGAUCUUUUAGGAACAUCUGAUAACCACAAAGAUAAUCCCAUUCAUUAUACUAUAUUUUGUUGACUGAUAGAGGUGAACUAGAAAGUUAUGAGGAAGCAAUGUAGGUUGAUGAGUCAAUUGAGUGGGAGUUAAUCAUGAAAGAUGAGAUGAACUUUUUAUUGUUAAUCAAACAUGACAGUUGAUUGAGCUACCAAAAGAUAAGAAGGAAUUGAUAAUAUUGAAAUUUCUCAAUAAUGAUAAAAUUGACCACAAUCAAGAUAGUGCUUGGACUAGUGGCAAAAAAAAAAAAAAAAAAAAAAAAAAAAAAAAACCUUGCAUCGAGAAUAGUUAGAUGUAAAAACAUUGUCUUCAUGGUAAUUUAGAGGAAGAAAUUUAAAUAUAGUAGUAAUAAGGUUUUGGAGUAUAAGACAAGGAGAGAAUGAUAUGCAAACUUUAGAAGAAUUUGUGUGGUAUAAAUAGGCUCCAAGACAAUGGUAUAAGAAGUUUGAUAAGUUCAUUAGUAAUAAUAAGUUCUUGUAGAUCAUUGUUGCUAUGUCAAGAAAUUUGAAAACUCUUUUAUUAUUCUACUAUUAUAAGUUGAUGACAUGUUAAUGGCAAGAGCUUGCAUAUAAGAAAUUAAUAAGCUGAAAAUGGGGUUUUCAAAGGAGUUAGUAUUAAAGAAACUAGGCUUGCAAAACAAACUCUUGGAAUAAAGAUUACUAGGGACAAGCUGCAUGGCUUCUUAAAGUUAUCACAAGUAGAAUAUGUGAAGAAAGUAAUUAGUAUAUUCACUAUGAAUGGAGUAAAGCCCGUGGAAACUUGUUUGGCUUGUCAUUUUAGGUUUGCCUAAGAGUAGUCACCUUUCACAUAGUAGGAGUGGGCCUCUAUGACCAAGGUACGUUAUGCUUCUAUUUUGUGAUAGUUUAUGCAUGCCAUGGUGUGUACUAGACCCGAUAUGAGUUGCAAGUAAAUAUAUGAACAAUCUAGGAAAACAAUAAUGGGAGGCAAUAAAAUGGAUUAUCAAGUAUUUAUAAGGUACUACAGAUUCAACUUUAUAUUUUGGGAAAUCAAAUUUGGAUCUACAAGGCAAUAGUGAUGUUGAUAUGAUUGGUGAUAGUGACAUCAAGAAGAUUACUAUUGGUAUGUAUACACAAUUGGUGAUAUAACAGUCAAUUGAGUUUGAAAAGUUGUAAAAGAUUGUUACUCUCUCUACUAUUGAGGCAAAAAACAAUGUUGUGAUAGAAGUUACCAAGACGUUAGUAUGGUUAUAGAAUUUCUUAGAAGAGUUAGAUUUGAAUAAUGGGAAGAACAUUUUGUAUUGUGGCUGUGAGAGUGUUAUUCAUGUAGCAAAGAAUCCAAUUUAUGAUGCUAGGACAAAGUUUAUACAUGUUUGAUAUCAUUACAUAUGAUUAGUUUUGGAAGAUGGAACUUUGGCUCUCAAGAAGAUUAAAGGGUGUCAAAAUCCAAUUGAUAUGCUAAUGAAUAUAGUCACAAAAGAGAAACUGAAGUUUUAUCCAAUUUUAAUUGGUUUUGUCAUUGAGAAAUGAGGAGGUGUUACCUCUACAAGAGACAUCUAAUGGUGGAUCAAUCUCCAAGUGGGAGAUUGUUGAGUUGUGUAGAGCCUAAUUUUAUUUAAGAGGUAUUUAAGAUAUUCUACACAUAUAUUAGUUUGCUACUAUUUUCUCAUUAUUAUAUAAGGGAUUAUUAUCAUUUUUAGGAUGAGGGUGUGAAAAUAAAGGAGAGGUAUUUAGCUUGUGAUAAUGGAAAUUUUGCAUCGGUAGAGUGGAUGUAACUCUCACAUUGAGAAUGAACUAUUAUAGAUCUUGUGUGUGCUUUAACUAUUUUUUCUUGUGUUUUAUUACUCUUAUAAAUAGGAAUUUUCUUCUAAUAAAAAGAAGAUAUAUUAUUAAUGAUAACACGAUUUGAUAAUAUAUUUCUCUUGAAAUUUACAUAACAAAUAGAAAUAUCUUUAUUUUCAGUUAUGUAUAUUUCUUUAUGGUUAUUAUUCAAGUUAAGGUUUAUUACACUUUAUCCUCUCAACCUAUAACAUGUUUUGCAUAUUGCCUUCUCGAGUUCAAAAUCGAGCAAUGUACCCUCCAUCCUUUAUAAUUGCAUGCAAUGUGAAUUUUUUUAAAGACGACGUUAUUUUUUAAAGAUCACAUGCUCUGCAUGUGCUCGAGGGCAAAAUUGUCUUUUUUGCUAUAAACCCCAAAUUUGUAACCCUUCUCUUCCUUAUUUUUCUUCACUUCCUUCGAAACCCUGAAAUCCCAAUCCCACAAAGACGGGUCUUCUCAAAAAGUGGAAAACAAGCAUUAUAUAUUUGGUUAAACGGUUUUAUUAAUCUAAAAAUCAAAUGCAAUACUUGAAUGAACACCCUUGUCUUCCU
rnacentral:lncRNA from 1 species